rnacentral:lncRNA from 1 species
UUUUCUUAGGCAGCUCUAGUUUAUUUCCAUUUGAUUUCCUUCAUUACCAUGUGGUAGCCAAACCUUCAAUAAACCUUGCGUGUUUGAGCUAUAGGUGAGAAUUCUUUAAUUCUAGUCAUUUCAGGUGCCUUGUGUUUAGGCUUUUAAAUCAAAUUAUUCUCUCAUCAAAACUAUUGACAUACAUACGAUCAAUUCAGCCACACAUUUACCUUUGUCCCUUACAAAUAUAAGAGUACCACGCUAUCCUAAUCACUUUUGGACCCUAUGCGGGUAUUCAUUUUCAACGGUUGGAUUGUGAAACAAAGUUUAGAGCGAGAGAAAUGGUGCAUGCACUGAAGCUGCGGAUUUAUAGGGAUUAUAAUUGGUUGCUAAGGAAUACAACGUCUAAGGUAAGAGCUCUAGUCUUGACCAUGAUUUAAGUGAAACUGAUAGAUUAUGAUGUUGAAUUUGAUAUGCUUCUUGAUUUAAUGGAUGAGAGAAAAGAUUUAUUGUGUUUUAUUAUUAUGCUUGUCUAUAAAAAAAAGAACUAGAAGUAAUGUCUUGGACCAAAAAAAGAAAUUUGAUCGUGAAAACAUCUAUGUCAAAAAAUAAGAAAAAUAAGAAAAUCAUAUAUGACAACAAAAGUUAGAAAUGAAAUCAUCAUAUAGAAUAUCAUUUACAAAAUCUAAUAGUUGAAAUAGAUUUACAAGUUCAUUAUACUAAAUCUUUGAACAACUAUAUAUCAUAAGUCACAAGGAAAAAAAUAGGAGACCAAUUUAAGGAACUCAAUUAAUUACAUACGUUUCUAGCUAGCUCUCUCAUUGUUUAGCCCAAUAUUUCUUCACCAUUUAUGACUUCAAAAUUCUUCUGCAGAGUCUUGGAGGGUGGUGCUGCAAAUCGGGCUGUGAAUGACCUUGAAAAAUCAUCAGGAUCAGUAAAAUAACAACCAUCAUCAAAAUUUUGUAAAUAUGAGCUAGAAUCAUAUUGAAACACGGGAGAAGAUGAUGUAAAUAUUCUCCUUUUCUUUUCUUUCUUGAUCUUCUUCCACAAAUUUUUCAAGCUUGAUAUCUUCAUUCUAGCCAUAAAUUCAUUGACACAUACAAUAGGAUCAUUGCCAAUUCUCUCAUAAGUUGACCAAAUGCAGUUGUUUCUUGAGCCUAGACAGUUGCAAUUUUCAAGGUCCAUGGUGUAUGGAGUAGAGGACAAGGGAGGCAUAAAAUGUUAGGAUUUAAGGUGUUUCGAGUGCAUGCACUAAAACUAAGACCAAAGGCUAUUUAUAUAGUUAUGGCUCGAACCACUUGCCUUUCCCUUUUUUCAAAUUUCCUCAUCACCACCUCAGCAAAGCACAUACUUUGAGCUAUAUAUGACCAAGAAAAUAAAAAGGAAAAAAGAUUGGAUAAUCCAGAAAUAUUUAAAACUCCUUUUGAAGUCAGCAAUUCAAAUUUCUAUUAUAUGUUUUUUCUUAAAGAUUCUUAAUGACUGUAAUACAACUUAGUCAUGGGUCAUGGCUUAGUUGUCAAGUUACUUUGGAGAAACACACACCGUGUCUAAACAGUGGCCAUACUACUAGCAUAAAUUUUUUGAGACGGCCAAAUAUAAAAGAAAAAAAUACGUUAAUAAAUUUCUUAGAAUAAUUUGUAUUUACGUAAAAUAUAAGAGUUAAAUAUGUUUUUAGUCCUUACAUUUUGCGCCCCUUUGAAGAAUAUUCCCUACAUUUCAUUAAAUGUUUUUAAAAUCCUCACAUUUUAUCUCCGUUAUCAAAAUUAGUCCCCUGAUGUUAAUUCUUUAACGGAAUAUUGACGUGGCAGUUAGUGGAUCCCAAUUAUUUUAGGAUUAAAUAUAUUUUUGAUCCCUACAUUUUGCGUGACUUUGAAGAAUAGUCCUUACAUUUUAAUAAAUGUUUUUAAAGUCACGCAAAAUGUAAGGACUAUUCUUUAAAGUCACGCAAAAUAUAUGGACCAAAAACAUAUUUAACCUUAAAAUAAUUGGGACCCACUAACUGCCACAUCAGCAUUCUGUUAGAGGAUUAAUAUCAGGGACUAAUUUUGAUAACGGAGAUAAAAUGUAAGGAUUUUAAAAACAUUUAAUGAAACGUAGGGACUAUUCUUCAAAGGGUCGCAAAAUGUAAGGACUAAAAAUAUAUUUAACCCAAAAUAUAAAGUAAAGUAAACACAAAGGAAAUAAAAAUUGACAAUAAUUUGCAGGAGAGUUGAGUUCUACUGCGCUUCAAGAAAUCAAAUUUAUCAAUAAUUGACGUAUUGACUAAAUUUGUCAACAAUAUCAUUUAUUUUGUCAAGUAACCUAGUUGAUAGAGUUCACACAAUUUAAUUGUGGAGAAGUGAGGCGUCCGAAGUUCGAACCCCGGCCCCUGCAUAUAAAUGCUCACGGGGAUCAAAAAUAUAAUUUUCAAAUUCAAAAUAAACUAUUAAAUCAUCUCCAUUUCAUUUUUAAAUCUCGGCUUGAAAUUUUUUAUUGUUGAAAAAACUUUCUCCGAAAUCAUGAUAAAGACUCUGGAAGUGUCAAAACAUGAAUAAUAAAUUUACCAAUCAAGUGAUUCUUCUUUUUUUACAAAAGAAAAUAAUAGAUUUAUUUGAGUAGCUAAUAUAAGUAUCAAAAUAUAUAAGCUUAUGUAAAGAAAAAAAGAAUUAGGAUAGCCAAGACUUCCUCAUAUAACCCCUACCUCAUAUAAGGCUAUGUACCUUGUGUCCAAGGAUAUUAGGUAUAAUAUACACAAACAAGUUGCACAAAGAAUCAUAGAACAUACGAAAUUAAUGUGAUUUGGCAUAUAUAUUCAUAUACAAUAAGUGAUCAUCCACUCAUUUAAGGAUACAUCAACCCUCUAUGUGAUCACCUAAAAUUUAUAUGGUCUGCCGGUAAUUGUUUUUUGCGUUUUCGGGGCCCAAAAACAAUUUGAGGAAUUUUUAUUUGAUUUUAGGUGCACAGUUAUUUUGGUUCAUUGCAAGGUCACAAUGCAUAUGCAUGCAUAAACAAACAUUGGUGUUGGUGCUUAAGCUGCAAUUUGAUGACAUAAUUUUAAUUUUUCUUAUCUGUUUUUAACCAUUUUCCCCCCACGUUUCUAGUUUUGCUUGGAACUAUGGUAAAAUAAAAUGAAGAUUAUUUCAUAUAAAAAAAGUUGUUUACUAAUUAAGCCCUCAAAGGUAUGGUGGGCCAUUAGAUUGUGUCGACGUUAAAGGAAAUGAAAAGGAAAAAGAAAAAAAAAAAGAUGCAAGUGACGAUAUAAUCUUGUCACCUUUUAUGUGAAAUGUUGUGCAAGUAACACAGCUAAAAGUAACAAGUUGCUGAGUCAAAAAUAAUAAAAGGAACAAGUGGAUGCCCUUUUUGAAAUAAUAAGUGGAAGUCAUUUUAAGAGAUUAAAGAUGAUUUUUUUUUUCUUUUUUAAAUUAUCUUUUUAUUCGUUUAGAUUUUUUUUUUUAGAAAAUUCAUAUAUUCAAAUAAUUAAGAUAGAAGGAAAAAAAAUUCUCCAUUCUCAAGUUCAUUCAUCUUGUUUCAUGUUGUUUUUGUCCUUUUUUCCAGCAUUGUUAAUGUAAACUUUGAUGCAGGGAAAUUAUGCAUAAUGUAAUAAGUACAAUAUAUAGUUGGGACUACAUCUAUUGUAUAAUGAAAAAAUUAUACACUAACAAUGUAUAUAAAUUAAACUCUUAAUAUAUUUCAAACUUGCGAUAUAUUUGUAUGUGUAGAGAUCGAUGUAUACAUAUUGAUCGAUGAGGACUACCAUCUUUUGCGCUUCGCCCCAUCCCAUAAUCAGUCCUUCAUUUUUAUGAUUGAAAGCAUAAACAGACUUAGUGUGCAAGAUAAGUAGAUUAAAUGAUUAAUUGACAAAUACUGCAAUGUCAAGUUAUCCAAAGAGAUUGUUGUAAGACCUCAACAAGGCCAGGUCUAUAACGGUUUCUUAAGCUUUACCUUUUCAACACAAUGUUGAUGUACAAUGGUAUGGUUCUUUGUAUUCACCAAAACCUCACAUGAUAGUUUUACCUAUUAUAACAUGAAAAACAAAAUCCAAGUUAUUUGGAAAGUGAUAAAGGAAAAAACUGGAGGAGUUGAAAUUUUUCCAUGUUAAUAAUAAAAGAAUGAAAUUCGUCUAUAAAGGACACAUAUCACUAUGAUCAUUGCACAAUGUAGCGACUAUAAAGGAUCAUCAACACGAUUGAAAUUGUGAGCUUGAUUUUUUCUUUUUUUUGUUUUGUUUGGGGUUUGAACCUCAAACCUUGCAUAUAUUAUGCAUUGUUUUAACCAACUGAGUUAAACUCACGGGACAGUUGUGAGCUUGUGAUUACUACAGAAAUUGAGCAUUCCCACUCAAUGUCUCUUUCUUUUUAAUUAUCUCCAAUUUCUUAUGGCUCAGCAAAACUAUUGAAGGUGGAGAUCCAAAUCCAUUGAAAUGAGAAUUCACUUUAACACUAGAGAAGCUUAGAUAAUCAAGAGCAUUUCAUGAUUUGAUCUAACACUCUAAAUGCUCUAGUCUAGAAUAAUUUUAAUUGAAUCAAUCUAUUUUUUUAUUUAUUUAGAUAAGCAAUCAAUCUAAUUUAAAAUUACAAAAUUCUAUAUAUUUUUUAUUCACAAAAUAAAUUCAAAUAUGAUAUUACUUACAUAAUUUUCCUUUUCAGCUGUACCAACAAACCAUACACUACUAAAAAUUUAGUGACCGAAUUAUUUCAGUCACCAUAGCGGUUGAUUCAUCAACCGAAUUUUAAAAUCGGUUGCUAAAUGACUUAGCAAACUAUUUAGUGUCCGGUUUGCAAAAUGUCAUCAAACCACCGGUUGCUAAUAAUGUCAACGGCCAAUUUAGUGACCAAUUUGGCCUUUUCAUUUGUUUAAAUCGGUCGAUAUGGCUUUAUUUUGGAAUAUGUAAUUAAUUGAAGGAUGAUGAAAAUAAUACUAUAAUACCUUGAAAAUUUUAGGGAAGUGAAAGGCAAAAAGUCCAAGGUUUCCCACAACUCCAACAGCAGUGUGAAAAUGAACCCUCUUCUUAGCCAGAUCCUGCAUCAAAUGUGCCACAUCUGGAGAAGGAAGUCCCCCAAACUCAAGCUCACCAAACACAUGUUCUGAACCCCAUCCCUUCACGUGCCAACCCCUCGUUUCCACGUGACCAAGUUUAUGCCCACGAUACUUGAUGCCGACGUCAACUUCAGCUAGCUCCAUCCAAUACAAAACCUUGUUGUGAAUUUUAACGGUUACCGAUAAUGACACAUCAACACUCAACGGUGGUAACGGGUGAACUUUUGCUCGUUUUACUAUUAAACUUUCCAUUUCAAUUUCUGGGUUUAAUGGCCAUAGGAAAAACAACGCCGUUAUACACAAUGCUAGAACCACUAUCCAUAAUAGGAAGACACAACAUCGUGGUAUAACAAGGUAAUUUUGGGUGUUUUGUUUUGAGUAUGUCAUUGGUUUUUUUUUUUUUUUUUAUUAGUUAAAUGAGAUUUGAGUGUGAGGAGUAAUAAAAGGUGAGUGGUUUUGAUUUGAUGAGCAACAUUGUAAGUAUUGAGUUGGAAAUGAGUAGUGAAUAACAUUACGUAGAUGAAGGGUUUUGCAUGGUUUGGCUUUUGCGUGGGAAAUUUUGGAGGUGGUUUCCUAUUUUGUACUUGUGUAUGUGUCCUGUGUCUUUUUGUGGAGUAAGAUAUUAUUGAUAAGCUUACUACAUUAAGUACAACAUAUAUCAAGUAAUGUGACCUUCAAUCCAAACAUACUUGACCGUAUCAAACUUAUUUUUUAUGGUGGUCCAAUCUAGUAAUGCUCUAUUUUGUUUUUUGUAUUUUGCAACAUCACUCCAAUGAUUAAUUGCUUAUGCAAUAACAGUGCAGAUGAUUCAUGAAUCCAAGUGAAUAAUAAAUACACAUUUCACAAAAAAUCAAUAAGGGAAUAUUUCUGAAAUCUCCCUAGUUAGAAUAUUAGUUUAAACUACAUGACAAUGCACACAAAUAAUAUCCUGCCAAAGGUUCAAAAUGAUUUAUGACAAUAAUAGAUAAUUAGUAAAUGGAAAAUAAUUUCAUAAAGUUUGACCUACUUACAGAAAUAAUUGAAUCAAAAUUGGUCCCCCUUUGCUAAAGAUCGUGUAGCAGCAUCCGGACAGAAAGACACAUCAGUUUGAGAAUCAGACGGUGGCAAAUAAUAACAUCAUCACUAGAAAAGAAGAAAGAAUGUAACCAACUUGAAUAGUAAGACCAUCUCCCAAAGGAGCAGAGUAUGGAGCACUUUUGGAACGUUCACUGAUGUGUUUUUUGUUCUCAAAAAGGAACAUUCAAUGUUACAUUAACUAUUUUGUCAAUUAUACCUUCACUGUAUGAAUAAUUUUGAACUUACAUGAAUUAAGUGUGCCAAUAAAAGGUGUGACUAUCAGUUACUAGUUGCAGCAAAUUAAACUAUGUUAAUUUCCAAUUUUCAUUUCAUUCUCCUCCAGCGGAAGCUUGAACACUAACUUUUUUCAUCAAGCAUUUGUUUGACUUCUCAUUUUCAAUGGGACUGAUGCAAUAUACACGGGAUCCGAUAUGCUUCACUUCUAGACCAGCAUUCUCACAUCCAUUGAAGAAAAUCGACUCGUCUUCCUUUCCAAUUCUACGUCUCCAGCUCAUCAGAAAAGCUGGCCAAGGCAACACUACAUCUCCUGCAAGCACAAGAACAAGUAAAAGUGCAAAAUCUUGAGCAGUGUUUUCAAUCGUGAAUUGCAGAAAAUAGCACUUUGUUCAAAUUCCACUGCGCUACAGUGCUAUAGCGUCACUAUAGCUGCUAUUUAACAAAAUAUUGUACUAAAUAGAGUAUCGCAAAACAACAGCAAAUUUUUCAAAUUCAACUACACUUAAAAUAGAAAAUGUUAGAAGGGGCUCGAGCAAGAUACCAUGUGUCUCAUCAUUCCCAGUCGGAGAAACUGUAGUUCUAUCACCGUGCUUGUAACUUUUGAGAAGAAAUGAAAUCGUCUGUAUCAGAUUCGGAUACUGUUUCACAUCUGCAAACAUUUGAUUUGAGAGAGAAAUUUGUCAGAAAAUAAAUAAAUAUGUUUAAAUUACAAUGGUCUCUCUCUUAUUUUAAUUUAUCUUUUUGUGGAACUUCCAAUGUUAUUGGCAACUACUUUUGAAAUUUUGUUAUUGAUUUUAAGAUUAUAUUUUACAAGCUUCAGAACUGUGCAAUAUUAUUUAUAUCAUAUUUUAUUAUUCCAUAGUUGAUAGAAAAUGUUUAAGCCUAGUUCUAGUAUAUACUAAUGAUGUUAAGAAAAUAUAUUAAUCAUUAAAAUAUAUGGGAAUUGCACUCCCCUCACUGAGGUAUGCUCAAAUACCAUAUGCACCCCCCUCUUUGAUUUUUCAAUCAAACACCCACCACCCUUAUUUGUUGGAGAAAUUACACUCACCUUCCCUUAGGUUUGUUUAAAUGGCUCCCCUGAGAUAUGUCUAAAAAGACACAUGCACACUCUAUUCUGUGAGGGUGAGAAUAAUUCAGGAGAGGCAAGUGUCUUUUACAAAAUAUAGAAUGUGCGUGUGUCAUUUAGACAUAUCUCAUGGGAUGAGUACAAUUUUCACUUGGAAUAUUAGUAAUGAUUAAUGUCACUGAUGUUAUACCAGGAACGGGAAGCCAUCUGUUAAGCACUAAUAACCAACUCAGCAGAGAACUCAGAUAUUUCAAAUGGAAUUGCUUUUAUUUCUUAAUGAUUUAGUAUUUCAUAUGUUUCAAUGUGCAAGAAAUAUUCGAGGUAGUUUAACUGGUUUGAGACCAAUAAUGAUUAACUAUUCCCUAAUGGAUAAAUUCUAUUAGUUUUUUUUUUUUUUUUGUUUUUUGAAGAAGCUAAACUAGCCCACAGAAAUUGAUAAAUUCUAUUAGUAGUAAUAAACUAACAUUUUAUUAAGAGGGAAAAUGGGUAACAGAGACAGUAAAUUAGAAGAUAAUAAUCUUACACAAUAAGAUGUCACUCGCAAUUAUCAGGUCCCAAUCAGGGUCAGAAUUUGGAAACUUGUCUCCCCAAGUGUCUGAAAACAGAAACACAUUUAGUAAUUCGAGAACAGAAAGUAAUAUGAGAAUAAAUAGUAAAACAAAGAGUAAAUUAAAUGAUAUAGAAUCAGAGAAAAAUGUGAGUCUAAACAAGCAAAUAUUUACAUUAUGUACCAUAUUAAGUCUAAAAGUAAUCAUCCCUCAAAUUAUAGCUUAUUGUGGGGAACAACCUUCAACUCAGUACUAACUAAUAUCUAUUCAUGUUCCUAUUUAAUUCUAAAAGUAGUCAUCCCCCACAUUAGAGUUAAUUGUGGUGAACAACCUUCAACUCAGUAAUAUCUAAUACUAAAUAUCAUUCAUGCUCUAAUUUCUAACAACUCAUUGUACAUGUGCUUAAUUGUAACAAUCCUUCUCUUAGAGCAUACAUGUCAUAAAUGCCAAGCAUAUUAAAACAAUUUCAAAGCCCAACCCUCUAAGUUAACAAACAUAUCAUCAUACAAUACCUGUAGGGUCUGUUUGAUUUGUAAAAAAUAUUGUUGAAAGAACAAAAAUAUUUGUUUCAUGUUUGGUUGGAAAAGUGACAAUUAACAUCUCUGUGUUUGAGCAGCAAAAGAUGACUGGGUGAUUUGAAAGAAUACUCACGUUUUAUAUGAGGAAUGACAGGUAAAUCAUUUGCACCACAAUUGUGAGCUAUGUUCUCCAUUAUUUCUUGAUCAUCAUAGUCUGAAGUUGUAAUAUCAAGAUUAUAUGAUUUUCGAAGAAAUAUGGCCAAAGCACCUGUGCCACUGGUAUGGAUGCAACACAAGCAAGAAAAAACGUGAAAUCAAAUUUCUGAAAUUAAAAUCUGCAAAGGAUAUGAAAUCAUAUAACAUGAAAUAGAUCAUUUUUUUAUGCUGGAUAUUUUGAUGUAUUGGCUAUUAAUUUUCAGAUGCAUACAUCUCAUGGUAAUACAAAUACUUGCAUUUAUUUGAUGACCAACGGGGUCAAUGCUCCAUCUCAAACUACGAACCUGUUUAUACAUUUCUACAAGAGAUUGCGGCUAAGAUUGCGGCUAAGUGUUCUAUUCAAGAAGAGAAAUGUACAACCAAGAGUGGUUAUUGAUAGAUGCGCGCAAGUGACAUAGGAUCGAGUUAAGAUUUAAAUAGGGUUGCGAAUUAUAGCUUAUAUAAAUUAAAGGAUUUGUGAGUAAUUAAAAUACCUCCCCAACUCAAUGGUACGCCGUCCUUCAAUGCAUGAUCUGUGUUGAACUAACCAUUCUGCAAAUGCAAAAGUUCCUGGCCAGAGCAAAUUAGCAUUCAGUUGAUGAAAGGAAAAUUCUCGGAUAAUCAAUUCCUGCAUAGAAGAUAAUGGCAUAAAGAACUUCAGAAUAAUAAAAUGUUGAUGACAGUGUUUUCAAUCGUGGAUCGUAACAAAAUAGUGGUUUGCUCGAAAUUUCAAAUUUUGCAACGCAAUAGUGCUAUAGCGCCGCUAUAACUGCUAUUUGACAACAUUCUGCAUAAAUAACAUAUUAGCGCUAUAGUGCUGAUAUAGCCUCUACUUAACAACACUAGUUAACAAAACCUCAAGCACAGGAAGAAUUGAAGUUUAAAAAUGUGUCAUGUCAUGUCAAGCAAAUUCAUGGAACUAGCGUGUCUAACAUGAAUAACAUUACAGACAAAUGAAUGUCCCAAAUUAUCAACAAAAACAACAAAAGCAAAUGGCAUCUAUUGGCUAAACAAAAACAGACAGCCACACAUAAAACACAGUUGAAAAAAACUGCAAUCUAAUAAUACACCAUGUCAAAUUACUUUGAUCCAAUAGUAAGAACCACUCGGUGGAUAGGUGUAGUUGACCAUAGGUGAACACAACAAUCUUACAUUAUUCUUCCAAAAGCUGAGCAUAGAAGCAUACUAUGGCACAUAAUUAUUUAAUAUAUUUGAACACUAGACAUUACAAUUUUACUUUAAUUAUAACCUAAUUUGAGAUAUUAGAAAAAAUUGUAAUUGUAAUUGUAAUGAUGGCAUCUUUGUUUCUAUUCCUUUAUUCUCUGAUACUUAGAAAGCAAGUGAAUACUACGACAACCGUGAUUUAACUCAACUUGUGCUCAAAAGAAAGUGAAAAUGACAGCAAUUAAGCUAAAUGCUUGAAAUUGUAAUCCUAAAGUAUUGAAUUGAAUAGCCCCAAAUAAUGGCGAUAUGAUGAAUGAAUAUUAAAAAUGAAAACUUUACUUUACCAUUCCAGGGAACUGAUGCUUCCUCUCAACAUAAGUUUCAUGAGUCUCAGCGUUUUCCUCAUCUGCAUUCAGAAACAUAAUUUGUCAACAUAGGAAUCAAAGAAGAAACAAGCAGAGAGAGAGAGAGAGAGAGAGUAGUACCCUUGGUAUGAAUGUCAUCGUCAUCAUCUUCUUCGGCGAAGAGAGAUGAUGUGGAGAAGAGAGCUAUGUCCAUUUGUUAGUUCCUUUCUUGUCAAUCACAGUCACCAACUCUUGAAUGUCAUUGAGGUAUUUAAAAUUCGAUUUUUGACCAUCAAAUUGUAAUUUUUUCAUUAAAAGUGAUAUAUUUUUUUUUUGUACUUUCUCUUCAUAUCCAAAAUUGGGGCCAAAAAUCACAAUUUUUUAGGUUAUGAAUUAAACCGAAAUUAACUCAUUUGAGGUUGAUCCAAUGGUUAAUUUGGGAUUUCAAUUUCAAUUUGGUGAUCAAAAGUUUUGUUCUGACUUUAAAUGGUCCCACAAAUGAGUGGUGGAUUGAUCCCCUCGAAAAAAAAAAAAAAAAAAAAGACCGGAAUUGCAAUAAAGUGAAACAGAAGGAUCUGAAACAUGAGUUUGAAAUAGGGAUUAAAACGACUUAUAACUUAUGAUGGAGGGGGUAUAUUUUUAGCAUUAAUGAUAUUAUAGUCCCAAUAGAUAUCAACAAAUUGACAAAUAUGAUUACUCUCAUAGUAGCAUAUUGAUAAAGGAUAUUUAUGUUUGUGUAAAAUUAUUUAUUUUACAAUGACAUCUAUUGACAGCUCCAAUUUCCCACAUCAUGUUUGAACCUAAUUGAAAUAGGCAGUUAUGAAUUUCUCUGUUUUGUUGGCAUAUUGUAAUUGAUUAUUUGUGUAAAACAAUUUUACAUUUACAUACCAAAAAAAGACAUCAUUUAAUCUUCUAUGAAUAACACAUGAAAUGUACUAUAUGCCUAACUUACAACAUUCCUUCCCUCUCUCCCCAAAAAUUUAAUACACAGCCCAAUUCUCAUAAUCAGCUUUCUGCUGAUCCUAAUCUAUGUGCUACAAACCUUAAUUCACUGUACAUUUUAGAACAUUCAAAUGAAAAAUCUGUCAUAGCCUUUAAGAGCUCUAGCAAGUUAUUUUUUAGACAACUUAAUGAUUUUUGCCUCACAUGUAGGCACUGUUUUUCAAAUGCAUCUUUUUCCUCAUCCAACCUCUUCUCUAGUUCAACCAAAACUCUCUUCUCCAUUGCAACCUCAGGAGGAUCAUUAAUAUCAUCUUCGCCUCUAUUUUGAUCGAAUUCAUCUAAUCCUUUCUUUUUCUUAUAUUUGCACUCCCAUUGAUCAAAUCGUCUGCUUUUGCGCGUAUACUCCUUUCGUAUCUCCUCGCAUUUUCUCUUUAAAACCAACUCUUGUUCUUGAUGUUGAUAAAGAGAAUCUACCACGGCAGCGAAAUGUGAUAAGGCUAUUCUAGCAUGUUCAUCAGGAAGUUUCUCUAGAUGAUCAUUCCAAGCAUGAAGAAGGAUUUGUAAGGGUGGCGAAGAAAUCUUUUUCGUUGUAUCACUCUCAAUAAGGGUAAGAUUCAAUUUUAACCAACUAUAUAAGGCUUUGAUGAAACCCUUUUGAUUUUUUAUCAACUUUUCAAACUGUGAUUCCAACUCUUGCAUAACAUUCAAUAACUGAUAUGUUCUAUCAUGAUGGUGUUCGCUUGUUUCCGUAGGAAACUGAGAAUCUAGUGAUUUCAAUAACUUCAUGAUACUUAACUGCUUCUUGUGGUGAGAAUGCAUGGUUCUCCACAUUUUGGCCAUCCUGUGUAGCAUAAAAAAACACCAUUAGUCUUGUAUUCAUUUUCUAAUGACUUGCAUAACAGUUGUCAGGAGUCAGGACUAUUCAUGGUUCGGUUCAGGAAGAAAAAAAUCAAAUUAACCGAACUUGUAUAAAGAUUCGGUAACCGAAUCAAUGUUUGCGAACCUAACCAAGACUACCUUAACCGAAAACUGAAUUGUACAUUUUCAAACUGAACUAUAUCAAAUUAUUGUUAUUAACUGAUAUUAAGACUGUUUAAGAAAACCAAAUGCCAAGUUGAACCGAAUACUAGCACAGUAAAGAUACUAUAAAGUUUAUAAACUGAACCAAAACAUUAAAUCAAACCGAACCACACGUCCACACCUAAAAGAAUCAUACUGAGAUGGAUAGUUCACGAUCUGAACUGGUUCAAUUCAGUUCGUGAACUUUGUUUCUUUUCGUAGCAGUUCAGUUUAGUGGUUCUGUUUGGUUUUUAUUUUUAGCCAUCCUAACAAUUUUUAUGUUGACAAACUUAAAAGAUUGAUCACAUACAAUUGUAAUUUAUAAAUAAUAUUGCAAAAUUAUAACUCACCCAUCAACAAGCUGCACAAGUUUCGGAUACAAUUGUUGAUCACGUAAAUCAUUUAUCUCUGAAAUUGUUGAGUCCAAUGAUUGCAUAUCUACAAUGUAAACUGAAUCCAAAUGACUCAGAGCUGCUUUUUCUUUCUCCAAUGUUUCAAUGUUUGAACCUCUUUUUUCUAGCUUGUCGAUAGUAGCAACCUUUUUUUGGUACUCGGAUUUUGUUAACUCAGCAGCCUAUGAAACAAUAUUCAGCUGCAAAAUUCAGAACAGAACAAAAAGUGUGUGGAUCUACUUAAUUGCAGAUACAAAACUAAAUGAAUUGAUGAAAUAAUUAAGAAAUUAAAGAAACUCUUAGCUAGUCAUAUAUCAUAUAAGUUUUUACUCAACUUACCUUAACUUCACUAUAAAGUUUCUUUUCCCAUGCUAGCAACUUGUCUAAUACAGUAGCAAGAGUUUCGCGCUCCUCCGAAUCAAAAUCAUCUUUCACUUCGUCGGUAUUUGGUGUUUCUCGGAAGGACCUAUCCCAUGUUACAACUCGCAUCACCCUUGCGGAGUAAUCAAGGUGUCCUGAAAAAGAAAAAUACAAAAGAAAAUAUAGUUAUACAAAUUUAUAUGUUAUACUUAUGAGCUAGUUAUCUAUAACCUAACAAACAUGUUAUUCCACUUCAAAUUGUUCUAAACAACAGGAAUGAACAUGGAUUUUUGUGGUUACCUCUAGCAGUAUCAGAAAAAUUUGAAUGAAAGUGAAGACGAGUAGCCUGAAGAAUCACAGAAACACCGCGAGCAGCUUCAGAAGCCAUUAUAAAAUGAUUAUCAACUUCACUCAACACUUGAAUCAUAUCCAUAUUCACUCUCUCUUUCACUCUUCCAACAACUUCUUCAUCACCAUCACCAUCCUCUUCCUCUUCCACAACCAUGUCUGAUUCAAACUCCGGCAUGGUAAUAGCACGCCGGAGAGCAGCAGGCAAAUCAGGAAGAGGAGGAGGAGGCAAAGGAACAUCAUAAGAAGGAGAGAAUAAAAGAUUUUGUUGUUGUUCUCCUUGUGCAAAAUCUAUGAGAGCCGCGCCGGUGUUCUUGAGUGAGGCUGCGUAGGAGGAAUGCGCAGCCGCGAAGUUGUUACGGGCGGCAACCGCCUGUUUCAUGAAGUAAUGACGGUCUUUACAACUUGUUAUGGCUUCUUCAUUCUCCAUUUUUGAUUGGAAACAACCCAUUUUUUGUUUCUUCUUUUUUUUUGGAUUUGUUUUUGAAAUUGUUGAGUAUAGAAGGCCAGUGCUUAACGUGUGUCAUAGUGUGGAAGGGUUGAAAGCUUCAGUGUCAAGGCAAUGAAACGAUGCCGUAUUAGUGGAGAAUGUUAUUGCUUGGAAAAGGAGAGAGAAUAUGAACUUUCUAGGUGUAUCAAAGUAGAAAAGCAAAGUUGUAAAGCAUGGAUUCCAACUACGUAGACGUUAAGGUAACAAAACGAUGCCGUUUUGGAGUAUAUAAAAAAAAUUAAAAAAUUAGUGAGUAUCCAAACUCAAAGUAGCAUAUGUUUUUUAUGUAUACACUGUGAAGAUCAAAUCAUAAAUCACAGAUUAAACAACUUUAGUAUCUGGUAUCUAUCAUUUAUCUCUGACGAUUAACAAUCAUCUCAAUUGAUAUAUUUUCUAUAUAUGUAUUAGCACGUUAACGAUGUUAAACAAAGCUUAAAGUCAAAAGUGAAAGUGAAAGUUUGUUUGAAUGUGCAUGGAAUUGCACCUGUUGACUUGGCAGCUGUUGGUUCUGGAAUUGUCGCGUCUUAAAAGUUUUGUUAUGGAUUUCUAAACUAUCGUAUUUGAAUUUUCAAGUCUAUUUUAAAAAAUUUACAAUCAAGUCGCUCUCUUUAAGAUGUUUUGUGGCACCAUUUAAAAUUUUGCAAGGUAGAAAAUUAACCAUGUUGCCUCCAAGACACAAUCAACUACAUUGUUGCACUGGAGCUAAUCGUUCGACAAUUACACCUCAAAUAUGGUACUAAUUGGACCACUCUUUUUAAUACCGAAGCUAAUCAAAUAUGAUACACAACUCUACUAUUGUAUUGUGACCACUCAAAUAACAUCUCAAAUAUAAAUAUGGUAUUUCAACCACUCAACUAUGGUGCUACUAGUAUUCUAACCUCUAACUUCUCCAAUAAUCGAAGAAGAAAAUAUUUUUAAGAUCAUUCUUAAUCAUCAAAGGACAUUAUACCCCAAGAAGGAAUAUAAUCUUAAAAAUACUAUUUAUUAUGAAGGAACAUAAAUUAUCGAAGGGACUAUGAUCUGAAGAUCAUUCUUAAUUCUGAAGGAUCAUUAUAUCAAGAAGGGUCUAUAGUCUUUAGAACACUCUUAAUUAUGUAUAUCAAAAAGGGUUUAUAGUCUUAAGAACACUCUUAAUCUAAAUGGACAAAGAAAAGAAAUGAAGAAAAGAAAGACUCAUCAACACAAGUCAAAAAGGGGACAUGUAAUAUUUUUCGGUUUUAACUAUAUGAGCUCCACAUAGCUCAUUCCAUAUAGCUCACUCUUAACUAUGUGAGCUCUCUUUUCGAUCUAUAGAAAAAAAAUUCACAACUAAUAUGUGAGAGACGUUAGGAACUAGUAAUUCACAUAUUAGAUCGAUUAAAAAUAUCUCAAUUUGAGGCUCAAAAUAUAUCAUAUUGAGUACAAAAAUAUAUUAUAUUAUGUACCAAACUAUAUUUCAGAUUAAACACCAAAAUAUAUUAGAUUGUAUGCCAAAAUAUUUUAGAUUGGGUUCCAAAAUAUUUUAACAAAACUUGAGAACUAAGAAAACACUUUCUAAUAAUGAUUAACAUAAUUAUUUAAUUUAACAUUUUUAAAUAAUAAAAUAUAUAAAUAUCUUCUUUAUUGGCCACAACCAUCGGCCAAUCCCACCACCACCGGUCAGACCCUCCCACCACUACCAUCCGUCAUCACCAACCACAAAUCUCACCACCACCAUUGUCUACUGUAUUCACCCUCAGAUCUCACCUCCACCACCAUCGUCGUACUCAGAUCUAACAUCAUCCGUCCACCACUCUCAAAUUAUCAUCAAUAAUGUCACCGCCGUUUCCGGCUACGGCGGUUACCAAACAUAUCUCCCAUGUCCUCAACCUCACUUCCAUUUCAAUCAUCACCCUCACUCGCUUUUUCCUGCUCUCUUUCACAAGUCUCUCUCAAUGCAACCUUCAUCGCCUUCACCUUCAGCGGUCGCCGCGACUUGUACAUAUCCGUCCAAAUUUUCGUUUAUGGGUUUAUGUGUUUCAAGAUCUGCGUUUUUUGAAGAUACGGUGCCAGAUACUAAGGUAACGUCAAUGAAUAGUGAGGAGGAAGGUUGGGAUCUUCAGUUUCCGGCACGACCGUUGUUGCCGAUGAGAGAUUAAGAGAUUCAGAUUGUGUUUCAGAUAUUUUGUUUUGCUUGUUUUCUUUGGUAUUUUGUUUCUCAUAAUCUAGAAACGAAUAUUUGAAACCUCAAAACAUGGUGGUGGUCGUGUUGUUGCUGCAUUGGUGUUUUGAAAGAUGGGGGAUUGUCGGUUCAGUUGCUUCAGUAGAGAAAGAGGUUUAAGGUGGAAGAGGAUGAACUGGUCAGAUUCCUUUUUUUUUUUUUUCAUAAUAAAAUUCCACAUAGGCUGCCACAUGAGGAUGUAUAAUGGGGGUAUGAGGAAAUAGAGAUGAUAAGUUAAGAAUCUUAGAGAAACUUCAAUGACAUUAUUUUACUUGGAGAGUAUUUUGCCAAAAUUUUCAAUGGAGUUGGCCAGCUUGUAAUAAUGGUGCUUUUCUGAAGCAACCCACACUUCACGUUUCUCAAGGCUAAAAAGGUGAAAAAGUGGAGAGAGUGGAACUAAAAUGAAAUGAAAUAUUAAUAUGUGUGGUAAAAUUGUGGGACCCAAGAUGAGUAUUUUAAAGUUUACCAUUGAAGUAAAAAAUUGAUGAGUAGUUACAAGAUUAUGUGGCAUAAUAGGGCCCUCAAAAUAAUCAUGGAUAGAGUUCACCAUUGAAGGUGCUCUUAUGUGGCAGAAUCCCUUUCUACAAAUAAUUAUGUGAACACUUCUCUCUUCAUCCUUACUUCUUUCUCUGAUCUCCUUCUCUUCUGUCUUCUCCUCUCACGUUGCUUUGUUUCUCUGUCGCCGCCAGCCACCACCUCACCCUCAGCCACUAAGCCAUCGUACCAUUCUCACCACCACCGUAUCACACUAUUCUCACACAACUUGAGUUUCGGUGUGACGACAACUCGUUUGCUCUUGUUACUCAGAUAUAAAUCUAUCUCUUCUCUAUAGUUCUUUUUCUCCAAUCCACCCCCCGUUCUCGCCAUCGCUGUUCUCCAAUUUUAAGAACAGGUGGCUCUGCAUACCCACCUUGUUGAGGUCGAUCCCCCGCAUUCACCGAAUGAAGUGUGAUGACGAGAGGGCAAGAGAACAAAAGGAGGGUGUGGAUCGGCAAAGACAGAUGUUGGACAACAGUAGCUGUUGCAGGGAGGAUAAGAGGAAGGGAACACGGAAAAAUAGAGAAAUGAGAAGAAAAAAAUAGAGAACGGAAUGAUAAAAAGGCACUACCACAAUUUUGGCUUUUAAUAGCACAAUUUCAAUAGCGCAUCUGGAUAAACGCUAUUAAAAAUGCAACCCAUAGACCUGUUAUAGCGCUUUACAGAAAGUGCUAAGAAAAACUUGUUUAAAAUUGGACUAGAUGGCGCUCUUCUGCAAGCGCUAUUAUUUUGGUUCACACUAAUAGCGCUUUUCAGAAAAACGCUAUAGUUGGAGGGGGUAUAGAUAGCGUUUUUACAAACGCUAUUGUUUGGCUUUAUGAAAAUAAAAAAAUAAAAAAAAAGGCAGAUAAGAUUUCAUCACGCACAAAACACUUCUCUCACCAAACCCACUCAUUCACUGACAAAAACUCUUCUCUGACCUUCUCGCCACCACCACCGUAGAACCCACUCAUCCACCGCCGUCUCACUCAGCUACGUCAAUCUCACCAACGUCUCUCCGUCAAAUCUAUCGAUUAACCCUUCAUCUAUAUCUCUACCCAUAACCCUUCAUGGUCUCUACGAACCCAUCUCUAUCUCUCCUGAAAAUCAAUUGAAACCCUAAGAUUUGAAUAAACCCAGAAUCGAUUGAAGCCAUUCAUCCCUAAGAUUCGUUCAAAGUAAGAAAUUUCCAACUUUAGUCUUCUGUUGUGUAUGGAUUUUUUUGUUUAGUUUUAACUCAUUCUGUUUCAUUCUCAAACUAACUUUGCUUUUCCCUUUUAAAUUGAGUUUUAUUGCGAAAAAUGAUAGCUUUUUUGUGUUUUUGUUUGAUUUUUGAGAUGGGUUUGUUUGUAUUUGCGAUGCUUAAUGUUGUGUUUUUCAAAGUUUGUGGUUUUGUGUUCUGGUUUGAUUUAUGAGGUUGGUUUGUGUUUGAUGUUCAGCCGUCCGACGCCGGUCGACAUGUUCAUAAUAUUUUUUUCCUCUUGCAGCUCAUAACUCUUGACUCUCUAAUAUCAUUGAAAUUACUUGUUUUGGAUCAGUUGAAUUUUCGUGUCUGUUAACAUACUGAUUUUGUAUAGUUUAACGACUACCUUGACAGAUUUCAUAUUGUUUAAGAACUAAUUAUAACUUUCAUAAAGUUUAGGAACUAGAUAGGAGUAAGAGUGAUACUUGAUGGACUAAGUUGAUGGUUGUCUUGUAGAAGUAGAAGCAUGCUUGUGAACUCCAGUUGAAGAUUUACAAUUGGCUUUCCUUCAAUUGGUUUUGCAUACAUCAUUAAUUAUUGAGUUUCAUGAGUUAAGUAUUGUGCAGCCAAAAAUCAAUAAAACACCCAUGAGUAUAGGUAGUUUUUGCAAAUCAUGUUUGAACAUAAUUAAUCAAUUAAAUUUACUUUCAGGUCCUGGUUGAAAAAGGAUCCAAAAACAUGAAGAUUGUUAAAAUCAAUAUGAUGCAAGUCUAUGCUCUUGGAUUUUGUAAGUUGUUUAUUUUCUCUAUACUUGAAUUUUCCCAUUCCUUUUGAUGAAGAGAAAAAUAAAUGUUAUUGAUUUUUGUUUCUGGUAUUGUUGGCAAAGGUUCCCCUUUUCUUUGGUUACAUGUUCAUAUUUCUUCUCAUUUCAUUUGAUCGCUUCUGUCAUAUGCAUGUUAAGACAUAUCUUAAUACAUUUAGCAAGUAAGCAAAUUUAUUAGGAAACAAGUGUUGAAUGGGCGAUAGAUUUUGUAGGAAACUCUUAAUACCGUAGUAGUAAUAGUAUAUGUGACAUUAAUUAAACUAGUGUGGCACUGAAUGUGAACGGUGCAAAAAUGAAACAGGGGACCUGAGGGACAUGUGGCUGUGUUUCUUUAAUCUACGUCUCAAGUCCGUUUUCAAACAAAAGGAAUGAUAAAGGGAAGCUUGUGGUUAUGCCUACUAGAAGUCCACCCAUAAAAAGCAAAGAGAAAGGGAAGGAAGUGGUCAUUUAUGUAAGUAGAACACCUACUAACAUGAAGGAUAAGAGGAAGGAAACACUACUACAAUUUUAUGCCAAAGGUUAAAAUUAAAUUAAAUUGUUUAAUUAGUAAUGGCUUGUUUAGUUUUGCAUUCAAGGUAACUUUCUUGCGACCCAAUGCUACUAUUGUCAUGGUUUUGUGAAGCUAGAAAUGCAAGCUUCUCUUUAAACGCACAGUUGUGUCAAAUUCAACUUUAUAACAAACACACGCUAAGUACCACCACAACAAAAUUGUAGUCAUGGAUCGCUAGUAAUAAUUUAAUGAAUUUUCUUUACUAUUUCAAAGUCUGUGGUGUGGUAUGAUGUUAUUUACCAUGCUCUUGAAGUUGGUCAAUGUUGAUUCAAAAGAACGUUAGUAUUAACAAGGGUGUUGAUAUUGUACUAAUGAACAUGUGCUUCCUGAUGUAGGAGUAUGUGCUCCACUUGAAGACUCCAUGGUUCCUAACAGGUAGCUUAUUCUCUUCCUUUGUACUUUUUAUUUGUGUUUGAGAUAGUGGCAUUAAUUCAAAUAUAAUGGUUUUCAACAAAUAUUCAUGUUUCUUCUUGUUGAUGAAUUAUGCUUGGUUUUAUUGAAAUUAAUAGCUUUUUCUAGUGUUUGAGUUUUAAAUGUCUUUGUAGAACUCAUAUUUUUCUACUCGAUAUUUAUAUUUUUUGUUUUAGCUUCGAUUUUGUUCUCUUUCAUUUAUUUUGCUUCGAUUUGAAGAUCUUAAAUGCUAUAUUUGUGAGCUUUGUUUUUAUUUCCGAUAAGUGCAGUGCUUGAAUUAUUUCUAAUAAGUUUAAUAACACUGAAAUGUGGCACUGGAUACCGGUUUUCAGGAAUGCAUUUCAUUUAUGUGUUUUCAUGUUUGUUACCAUUGAUUGAUACUCAAGCUUAUAUAUUUUUCCAUUUGGAUUCUUCUUUUUGUCCCAUAUAUUUGAGUGUAUGUUACUUGUGGUUAUAGGGGAAUAAUGUGUAUUGUUUCAUCAUUUACAGAGCAGCAAAUUGGUCACAAAAAAGAUCACCUCGAAUUGGUUCACCGGUUGAUGUUCGACUUAUCCCACCCUACCGCUCAAUCGCGCUUUUGGUGAAUGUAUUUUUAAAGGUAUACAUUCUUAAUUCUCUUUCUAACCGAAUCGCAAUUCGUUUUCAUAUUGGUACGUGAUAAUUCACACAUGAAUUUCACUGAAAAGUGAGUACCGGAGAACCGUACAAUCACCAACAAACAAUGCAAAAAUUUAGACUAAUUUAUCUGGCCCACCAAUUUAAUGUACUGCAGUACACUUGGUAAUGGACAGGUCUGUUAGAGGCAGAAUGUGUUGUCCGUAUAUAUAGAAUUACUUACCUCAAUGUUAGAUAACCUUCCGAUGCGGGACUUGCUAUUUUUCUAUGUUAGAUAAAACACAUGUGCUAGCUGCCUAUAUUACUAUAAAACAUCACCUGUCCGAAUUCUUUGAAAUUUAUCACCACUAGGCCUAAUGGCCUUAUGUCUCUUUGAUUUUAUAUACUUGUUCCUUGUUCCUUCAUGGCCAACUAUACAAGUGAGUUUCUUUUUAUUUUUCAUCAUUUUCGUUUUUAAUGUAAUUUGAAAUAAUUGUUAUGCCUCGAUGUUAAAAAGUAAGUUAGAUUUCACAAGAUUAGGCUGUUGGAAUUUUUGUAUUGGAACUGGAUAGUUUGACAGGUUAAUAGACAAACAAUGAAUUACAUAAUAUCCGGAUGUAUUGUAUUGUUUGUCAACUUAGAUUCUUUUUGAUUUUAAGUGGAUUCUAUAUGCACUUUAGUAUCCUUUUUGAGUUAUUUUAAACUGUUGGCUAUGCUGGAAAUAGAAUGAUACUUGAUUAAUUUUUCAUUCCAUACGACACAGGAGAAUAUGCUCGAGGUAGAUCUAUUGAGUAAUUUGGAUCGCUUGUCACGAGUCCUCUUAAUGUUUGGUGUUUUUUUUUUUUUUUUUUUUUUUUUUUUUGCGGCUGUGGCUGCUUUUCAUAUAUAUGUAUUGUGCACGAACUUUCCAUUUUUAUGCAAGUGUACAUUAGAUGUCAUUUAGGAUUGAUUAAUAUUUAUGACAUUUGUAAUUAAGUUUCUGAUCAACAAUUACUAGUGUUUAUUUCUAUCAAUGGAUUAAUGGAUUACUAGUGUUUCUAAUCAGUGUCUUGUUGUAUUGUCUGAUCAACAUUUUAUUAUAAUGCUUUUGGCUGUAGAUUUCAUAUAAAUAAAUAAAAUAAAAAUAGGGACAUUUAUCAGCGCUUUCCGUAAAACGCUAAGAAACAUCAGUUAAAAAUAGCACAAAAAUGAGGCUUUGUUAGCGCUUUUUUGAAAGCGCUAUUGAAACAUUGCUAUUUAAUAGCGCUUAGAAAGCGCUAUUAUAGCAUUCUUACCUUUAAUAGCGGGGGCUUUCUUAGCGCUUCAUAAGCGCUAUUAAACGCUAAAAUGAGUGCUAUUAAAGGGGGUAUUUUGUAGUAGUGAGGGCUCUUGUUUAAAAUUAAAAUUACCAAAUCACCAUUGAUAAGAGAAAAAGGUUGCUAGAUAGACGGUGGUCAACUAGAUGGAUGCAUGAGAAAAAUGGUGUAUAUAAAAGAGAAAUGAUUUUUGAAUAACCAUUUUUUGACAACUUUUGUAACAAUUUUCUCUCUCAUACAUACAUUACGUUUUUACUUUCUCUCUCUAUUGUUUUGGUUUUUAUGCCAAUACCUCUUUUUUUUUUUUGUAAAAUUUUGAUUGUCUCAAAAGUUGUCAUCUAAAUGGAUGUUCAAAUAAACACAACACUAUAUAGAACAUGGAAAAUGAUAGAUUGACAACCUUUAUGUUGUACACCCUUUAUACCACUGCUGAUAUGACCAGUGGCGGAUCCAGACCCUGGUUCAGGGGUGCGAAAAUUUUAACUUUAAUUAAUAAUUAUUAUAAUAUAUACAUGAAUGUUUAAAUUAUACAAUUUUAAUGUUUCACAAUAUGGUUACACUAGGUUGUCAUUUUUUAAUAAUAUUGCACUGUUCAAUAAGAAUUUAACAAGUACAAACUUUAUAAUAUCUAUGGUUUGAUCGAAAUAUGAUCACGCAUAUAUAUAUAUGGCAAACCAAAUUUUCCUGUAAUAAUUUCGACGAUCACGAUAGUCAUAGUCUCUAUUUUUUGGUGGUAUAGUCAUAGUCUCUGUAAGUAAAAGAAAAUGAAAACAAAAUUAAAAAACAAAAAAUGAGUGAAGUGAAAAUUAAAGAUAUUGUGCAAUAUAUAUUAUAUAUCAUAGAUUUUCAAAAGCAACUGAAUGAUGGAUGAAGUGAAGUGACUGAGAAAAUUGAGGAUAAAUCUAAGUCAUUAGUUCGAGACUAAGCACGAGACUAGGUAGGUACAUGUGAUUUUUUUGAAUUUUGUUGAAAAUAAAGCAACACAAUGAAUUACCCAAUAUUAAAUACACAAAUAAUUACCAAAUGCAUAAUUAAAAAAACAAAAUUUAGUCGUAAGUAAAAUGCAACAAGGUAGAAUGAGAGAAGAAGGUGUUAGGCUGUACUUAAAAAAUUCAAGUGCACGGUUUGAUGUGAGAGGAUCUUGGGGGUGCAACAAUAACGAGGUAUAUUUGGUUGGGCACAAACCUAAAUAAAUAUAUUUAGACACAUACACAAAACCAAGAAAAAAUUAAAGAAAAGUAAAAUUAUAAUAUAUCAAUUGAUGUAACUAAAUUUUUUUUUAUUUAAUUUUGUUAGUUUUAUAUGAGUAUGUCCAAAUAAUAUUUAUUUGGGGUUGUCUCUAUGAAAGACUUUUCCUAAAACUUAAGGGUAUGCAAAACAUGAAUAAAGUAUAUUACUGGGCAUAAAUUUGAAAACCCAGUGUGUGUGCAGGUGCAGCCCCUGACACACACCUGGGUCCACACCUGGAUAUGACAAGAUAUUUUUAUUUAACCAUUAAAUGGAGGGCAAUUUUGUAAAUCCGUAUAAACCUAUUGUCUUCUCCCUCCUCUCAUAUGUGUGUUUAUGUCUUCUCCCUCCCCUCUCUGCGUGUUUCUCACUCAGUCACAACCAACACAUACGUCGACGGCCAUCACCAUCACCGGUCACGACCAUCUCCAACGUCGUCGGUCUACUUCCCGUUUUGUCACCUUUUCGACGGUUACCAUAAUCACCAUCGUAGUCGCAACCACUAUCGCCACCAACCUUCACUUGCAUUUGUCCUUCACCACCAUCGGCGUUUUGGUUUUUUUUUCCAGAUAUACGCCGACGACAGUUAGAUCUUUGUCGGUCACUAUCAGAUCCAUACCGAGAAAGUGAAACACAUGAGUGGGACAUCAAUGAUGAGAUGUGCGUCGGUGGCCAUGAGGUGGAGGGUUGGUCGGAGAAGAAAGAGUAUAAAAAAAUGCAGCCCGACCCUUACUCAUACGAGAUAAAGACGGACAGUCAUGACGCAAAGGGACGUCGGCAGAGGAAGAAGAGAGAAGGAAGAGGUGGAAGAGAGAAAGACGAAAGGGAGAGAAGAGAAAGUGAGAGAAAAAUGUAUUGAAUGUGUUUCUGUGUUCACCACAUGUACACGUGUCACAUUUUUAUGUAAAAGUCAAAUUAAUAUAUGUCACGUAAGCAGGGGAGGACCUGGACAAGGCCCACUGUGGCAAGUGUCACACCAGUCCAGACCCAAUUAUAUAUAUAUAUAUAUAUAUAUAUAUAUAUAUAUAUAUAUUUAAUUUUAGCUAAAUAUUAUAUUAUAUAACUCAAAUUUUGUAAUUCCAUCACAUGUGUAUGGUGUUAUAUAGUGGCAAAGGCGCGCCCCUUUCACUAAAGCAACUUGAGUUUGAUUCCUGCAAUUCCCUUUUUAGCUUUUUAACUUUUAUUUUAACUAAUAAUACCAUAAAAAAUGCAAAAAAACAAGUGUUGAACCAGAGUACCUAAACUAAAAUCCAUUCAUAUGUAUCACUAAUCUAUACAAUUUCCUUCAAAAAAAAAAAAAACUAACCUAUACAAUUGUUUCAUUAAUAAUGUUGUGAGAAAUAAUAUAUAAGACAACCUAACAAAAAAAAUUGUACCACACUAGUUUUGUAAGGCCAAAUCCGCCCCUUCAUGUAAGAUUGUCAACCUAUCACCACUCAUAAAACAUUACUCAUUCAUUAAUUACUUUUGUUGAGGACACCUUGGGAGGGACUCGUACUAAAUGCAAUGUAGGUCAUCAACGUAUGACUUGGACUUUCUUUAUCAUACAUUUAAUCUCAUUACCAUAUAAGGACAUUUUUUUACCUACUUUAGGAAACUGGAGUUAGUGGUUUGCUGGCAUGCUGAUACUCUCAUGGUCCCAAACUUAAAACUCAUGUAGGCACGUGCUCAUUUCAACUAGUGUCAAUCACCACUAAUAGUUUGCAAUGCCCUUUUGCAUUUAAUAUUUUGUAGAAAUGGAUAGCAUAUAUAGCAUGCAUGCACUAUUAUAAUCAUAUUUUUCUAGAAGAUCAACAAUUUGUGAUCUUCUUAAUAAAAUGGGUGUAGUUAAUCGGUAUCUCUGAAAUACUGGUUAAAGAAUUCAAAAAUAAAAUUUCUAUUUUAAAAAUAUAAACUGUCAUUUUUCAUCAAAUAAUAAUUAUAUUACCUUUUAAUAAAAAUUUAUUUCUUUUGAUGCUUAAUCAAUGUCCCUAAACUACCGUUUACUGAAUGAACCAUCAUGUUCUUCCAUGGGGUGACAACAACAAGUGCUAUGUAAGAUAUACAUUGCACAGCUGGAUAAGCAUUGUUAAUUAUAUGUCGGUACAUUAAUUUUUUAGUCAUGCUCUCUUUAUUUGUGAAACAACCUGCUUUCUACGGUACACAUUUGGGAGGCUCUCCCUCCAAUCUAAUCGGUGAUUUGGAAACUUUGCCGUUCUAAACAAAAAAAGUUGGUAUGUUUUUUAAGGUAAAGUUAACUCGUGUCUUUGAAACAUAAGUUAAGAAACUCCUUUAAUGAUCAGGAUAGAGAGAAGGAUAUGAUAUAUUUAUCAUAAUUAACUUAAAUCUUAUGUUUGAUAUGUACCACAAAGAUAGGAUAAAAUAAAUCAUUCUCCUAUCAUAUCAUCAAGUGCCUUAUUAAUUAUUAUCAUAAGUAUGGGUUGGGUUAGAAACUAUCCUAACAUAUUAGAAAUUCAUUCCUUAUUUUUAAUCAUGAUAUUCUGUCGUUUUUAAAAUGUUGUCAUUCCUUUUUAAUUUUUUUUUUUUUGUCAUUCCUUACUUAUUUCUAAUUAAUUACAUGUCUUUUUUUAAAUAUUUAAUUAAUUACGAGUGUAAUUUACUCAUUUAUUUAUAGUAAAAUAAUGAUAUCAUAUUUGUUAUCAUGUGCGCCUCAAACAUAUGAUUAAUGUUUAUCAUAUCUAUAUCAUAUACCGUCUUCAUUCAAGUCUAUAUCAUAUCAUGUCUCUAUCCUAUCUUAAUCAUCUAACGAACCCUAAAUGUAAAAGAUUUUUCUUGAAAAAGUUUUCUAUAUUACAUCUAUAACUAUUCCACAUAAAAAUGAGUUUUUUCGAUGAACUACAGACUCUUAGCCUAAUUCAUCCAUGAUGAAAUGGGAAUGUUACCUACUUUUUUCUACAAUUAAUGAAACAAAAAACAUAUAUGUAAAAAUAAUAAAAAUAAAGUCUUAUAAAUAGUUCUACAAAAGUUGUAUACUACUGAAAAACCAUAUCAUAACAAUAACAAAGAUUAACACAAAUUUUGGGGUGUAAACAUAAACCAACACAAUUAUGGUUGUGUUUGGCAUUGGAGAAAUCCUUUUGAUUAUUUUCAUUGUAAUCUACUAUUGGAGGCUCAACAAAAACAAACCCAUGAUGAAAUGGCCAGUGUUUGGAAUGUUACCUUCUAUCUUCUACAACAUGUCUAAUAACCAUGAUCAUAUAAACUCAGUUUUGAAACAAAACGGAGGAACUUUCAUUUUUGAAGGACCAUGGUUAACAAACAUGAAGAUUGUGUAUACAAGUGAUCCCAUGAACGUGCAACACAUCACAAGCACAAAAUUUGAAAACUAUGGUAAAGGAAAAAAUUUCAGAGAGAUUUUUGAACCCCUUGGAGAAGGAAUUUUCAGGUCUGAUUUCGAUGCGUGGAAGUACAACAGAACUCUACUUCAUUCAGUCUUCAAGCAGGAAAAUUUUAAGGUAUUUUUUUACAAAACCACUGAGAAAAAAAUUGAUAGUUGUCUCCUUUUGUUUCUUGAUAAUGCUUGUAAAAAAGGAUUGCAAGUAGAUUUGCAAGAUGUUUUUAGAAGGUUAACCUUUGACAACACAUGUUCUGUAGUUUUAGGGUUUGAUCCUAAAUGUCUUUCUAUUGAACUUCCUAAAGCUACAUGGGAGAGUGCAUUUUCUCAAGGAAUAAAAACAAUAUUUUAUAGACAUUACAAGCCUAGAUUCUUGUGGAAGCUACAAAAAUGGCUUCAAAUUGGUGAAGAGAAAAAGUAUACAGAGAAUCAAAAAAUUCUUGAUCAAGCGUUAUAUGAAAAAAUCGAAUCCAAAAGAAAAAUACAAGGCCAACAACAAUUUGACGUGAUAAACGCCCUUAUGAAUGAAAUGAAAGAUGGAAAAGAUCCAAUAGAUGACAAGUUUCUGAAAGACACAACAAUUAAUUUACUCGCAGCCGGGACAGACACUAUUAGUUCUGGCCUUACUUGGUUUUUAUGGCUGGUCGCGACGCACCCUUUUGUUGAAGCUAAGAUUCUUGAAGAGAUUAAAGAAAAUUUACCAUCAAGAGAAGGUAAUUGGAAAUGUUUAGGAAUAGAAGGUAUUAAUAAGUUGGUUUAUCUACAUGCAGCUUUAUGUGAAUCCUUAAGACUUUAUCCACCUGUCCCUUUUGAGCAUAAAUCUUCAUUAAAACCAGAUGUACUUCCUAGUGGACAUAAGAUUAAGUCAAAUACAAUGAUAGUGUAUUCUCUAUAUUCAAUUGGAAGAGUUGAGGAAAUUUGGGGAGAAGAUUGCUUGGAGUUUAAACCAGAGAGGUGGAUUUCUAAGAAAGGAGAAAUAAUUCAUGUACCUUCUUACAAGUUUAUUGCUUUCAAUGCUGGACCAAGGAGUUGUUUGGGUAAGGAGAUGAGUUUCAUUGAGAUGAAAAUGAUUAUUGUAGCAAUACUGUUGAAUUAUCAUAUUCAUGUGGUUGAAGGUCAAGUAGUAAAGCCAAGUAUUUCUUUAAUCCUACACAUGAAACAUGGCUUGAAGGUUAUGGUGAAAAAAAUAAGUAUUUGAGGAUCUAAGGAGAUAUUUUGAAAAUAACUAAAUUGUGUUCUGAAACUACAUGCAAUGUUUAUUUAAAUUUGAAUUUUAACUUGUACUUUAUGUUUUUCAUGUUUUUUCAUGUGUUUUCCAAUAAAAGAGUAUAAAUAUAUUAUCUAUGUUAUUGUUAUAUUUGUCUCAUAAUGUUGAACAAGUUUUUGAAAAUUAUUAAUAGUUGAUUUGUUGUCACAAAAACUUUAAGCCUUUAUACUUUGUAUUCAAGUGAAACUUGAGUGAACGUAUAAUAAUUAGACUCUUUCUUUUUCUAUUUUAUUGAUUUCUCGCACGCCAUAUACAGUUCUGAUGAUAUAAUUUGAACGAUAUAAACAUCUCAUAAAAACCUCCAAAACACGUUAAAUAGAACGCACGAGAAACUUAUAAGAUGAAGAAAAAAAUGGCCUGAUAAUUAAUUUAAUAAGGCCUGAAAUAUAUAUAUAUAUAUAUAUAUAUAUAUAUAUAUAUAUAUAUAUAUAUAUAUAUUAGUCUAACAUAUAAUAAUUAAGUCGAUGCACCACUAGGGUGUAUAAUAAUUAAUCUAGCAUCAUUACAUUUACAAAUUUACAACAAUGUGUCUUUAAAUCCUAAGUUUCUAUGAUCUUCCAGUGAAAGCUUUAAGACGAGCAAUAAAAUCAUCAUAAUCAGGUAAAGUAGAAGGCACAUGCCAUGCACCACCCCACAUUUGUGCAUACCCUUUUGAAGAUGAUGUUUCCACUGAUGUUGUUGGUUUCAAUCCACUUGAAUCAAUAUUUUUCUCUAAUGGUUCAGAGUCUGAUGUUUUGUUGGAAUUUAUUUCACCUUUGUUAUUAGUUUUUUGUGGUUUGAAGUAAGGGGGUGGAAUUAGCAAAAAGGAAUUUGGUUUCUUGAUUUCUUCAACUUCUUCUUCAUUUUCAGAUAUGCUUCCAAAUGAACUUGAACUAGCUUUUCUUCCAUGAUGAUGAGAUGGUGAUGUGUCUGUGCUUGUUGUUUCAUCAUCACUACUAUUGUAUUGGUGCAUUGUCUCAUUUUCUUUGAAUGUGUUCAAGUCACUUUCAUUUUUGUGUUCUCCUCCUCCACUUCCACCCAACUGCGUCCCCUUUUAAUGAAUAAGUCGUCAAUUUAGUCUCUAUAAUAAUAGGAUCAGACAAUUUAAGUAUGAUUUAUAUUUAGUUUUGGUGUCACCGAUUUUUUUUCAUGUAAUCAACUCAGUUGUGUUAUAGCAAGAGACUUUUUGGGUGAAUUCUCGCUUAACAACUCAUUUCUAUAUAAUCAAUUAAAUUGUUACGUAAUUAUCUCACUUGUCACAUCGUAGAAAAUCAACCUCAAAUGAUGCAUAGGUGGAGAAAAUGUUGGAUAUUUAAAAGUUGGAAUACCAAAAUUGUGAAUAAUGUAAAACUAGGGAACUAAAACUAUAUAUAAGCCUAUUGAAAUUAAUAAAAUUGCAAAAUGAUCUCAAAAAUUAAAAUCCAGAAUCACAUUAGUAUGUACAAGAUAAUUUCUAGGACCAAUAAUAUGAUUUGUUAAUUUUAAGAAAUUUUUUUGACUCCUGAAAUCAAGGACCAAAGUUGGUGAAUCACACAAUUAUGAAAUUCUAAUUCAUAUUUGUGAUAAAACAAAUGUUCCAUUUGCUUGGAUAUAAGUCACAGUGUGAAAAUUUACUUACUUCAUAUAAUGAUGGGUGUGUAUAAAGCAUUUUCUUCAAAGCCUUACCAUCCCAUUCUAUAGAGAACUCUUGUGCAAUAUCAUAUAAUAACCUUAUCUUCAUUUCUCUUGUUGGAGAAUGUCUCAACUUCUCAACAAACUAAGGAACAACAAUUAUUUAAUCAAUCCUUAGAAACAAUAAUAAUAAAUAUACUCUACAAGGGUGGAUCAUUGGUUUUACCUCUUUAUUUAUGUAUGGUUCAAGAGAAUUUCCAUAUUUUUCUGUAAACAAAGUUCUAAGGUCACGCAAUUCUGGUAGGUCAGAAAUUCUUGCUGCAGCAUACAUCAAUGAUGGUAUAGCUUCCUUGCAUUCCUCAGGGCAUUCACUAUAUAAGAAAUUAGUUCAUAUUAUAUAAAUAAGAAGAGGUUUGAUUUUUGAGUUGCUAUUCAAAACAAUGAUUAUCAUGCUAUUUUUUCAUGUUUGAGAAUUGAAAAGCACACCUCUGCUUAAUUAAUUCUUCAAGAUGAUCUGAUAUGCAUCCAAUAAACUUUUCAAUGAAUUCAUAGCAGGAUAAUAUUUUUUCCUCAAACAGAAGCCCUUCAGUCUGCUUCAAAUACAAAAAUAGCUUCGACACUUCAGAUUAAAAGUAUAUCACAUGUCCGACAAGUGUUCCAACACCGACACAACGCCGUUACAUGUAAUCAGUUCUAUUUUCUCAAAUUAUUACUGAAGUCUACAUGUUAGUAUCAGUGUCGUGUUUGACGUUUGUGCCGAUAUUUAAUUUAUUGUCAUGUGCAUAAUAUGAAUCAAUACAACAAUACUUGUAUGCAAAAUUUAAUGGUGAAAAGAGAAUAUUACCCUUUUAUAUGCAUCAUAAUCAUGUCCACUCCUAAGAAGCUCAGCAAUGUCAUUCUUCGUAAACUUCUGAAUAGCUCUUCUCUUCUUCUCCAUCGUCUCUAACCGCGUCUUAAUACACUUUAUGUAUGAUAUACUGUUUUUUUUUAAAGCCAAAUCCAAAACAUAAAUUAGAAUAAACAAACACCAUAUAAUUUUUUUUUCUUCAAAAGAAAGAUAAAGAAUCAAAGAAUUAAAAAUCACAAUUUUAGUUAUUGGUUAGUGUUAUAUUGUACCAUUUUGAAUAGAACUUAGGCUUCAAUAACCAUCGAAACAUUUGUAUCAUAGAAUAUAUGAGGAGACCCUAUUGGCUAAAAAGGGAAAUGUCUUUUCUUGUUGAUGUUGGAUAUUUUAGAGGAUAUGUUGGGGUAAAUUAAAUAAUAUAGAUGUAGUGUAUUUAGAAUGAUUGAACAUAAAGUUAAAGGUAAGAAUAAGUGUAUUUAGGAGACCUCAAAGAAAAGAAAUGAAGCUCUCAUGAAGAGAAAAACACAAAACUCCAUAGAGAAGAAAAAAGAUGUAAAAUAAAAAUUGUAUAAUAUAAUACUUUGUUGGUGUCGAAAUAUCUUUUCUCAAAAACUUAAGUGUUUUAGUUAUUUCAAGUAGUUUGGCUCAUUGAACUUGAUUUAAAUUUAUGGUUGUCUCCAAUGAGGGAAUCAGAAAGGAAUGUAUAAUAAACUAAGAAAAAAAAGUGUCACAAGCAAUGACAAAAGUAUGUCAUAUUUUGCGUGAACUUGAGGCAGAAAAUGUUGGCAAAUGCAUGCAGGUAGUGCAUAUCCAUUCAUUGAAUCAAAUAUUCUUCAUUUCUUCUUCAAUACAAUACAAUAUAAUACAAUUUUUAGAAAGGAAAUGAGUAAUUGCGUGGUAGAGAAAUCAAAAGAAGAGCAAAAAUGCAUGGUGACAUUGAUGAGAAAAAUGUUUGGUUCAUGGCCCUUGACUUGCACUUGCUUUAUUCUUAAACUAUAUACUAUAUAAUAUACAUGUGUAUAUUCCUUUUUUAAUGUUCACUUUGCUUAGUUGCCAAGUAUACUCUGGCUGCUGCAUAUAUAACCCAUGAGGCCAAUAAUCAAUGCAAAAUUCUAAAGCGUGUGAACUUUUGGGCAUGAAAUAUAUGCAUACUAAAUAUAUUUUCUUAUAAAAUGCGUGACACAACUCACAAGUACAUGAAUAACAGAACAAUCUUGUUCCAACAAAACAAUUAUUCUUGCCAGAAUACUUCAGCUGUAACUGAGUGUUAUUCUAUAUAAAAAAAUUAACAAUCAAAUGUAAGAUAAGAAACAAAAAUGAUUAACCAAAAACAUUAUGAAGCAUGCAUUUCUUAAUGACGGGGUUAAUUUAGUAAAAUUACUAUAUUCAAUAGCCAAUUUAUUAUUUUUCUUAAACUUACACUUGUUUUGGUCCUUUAAUUUCAUUUUUUCUGUUUUUUGACAUGGAUAUUCAGUGUGACCAUAUAGUCUCUCUGGGGUCAUUAAUGAGUAGGUCACAUAAUAACCAAAAAAAGACUAAAAAACUGAUUCUUAAAAAGGGAUCAGAACUUAACUUUCAUUUUAAAUAGGAAGAUUAAAACUUAUUAUGUGCAUAGAAAUCUUAAACGAUCACUUUUUGUUGAUAAGUCAAAUGCAUUAUAACAAGAGUAGAAGGCAAUGUAGUCAUGAUCGAGAUCCUACGUAGGACCGUAGGAUAGGUCAGCCGUUGAAGGAUCGUAAAUACGAGAAAUGUAACACGGUUCAUAAGAACCCACUCAAGGAAAAAACUGUAAUUUCACAUAUACACACACAAUCAUAAAAAUUAUAAUACAACAAAAUAACUUAAGUACUUAAAAUCCAAAAGAGUAAGUACUCAAAAUUAAAUACAAAACAGUUGAAGCCAUUACAAAGGUUAUGUGAAAACAGAGAUCGAAAACGAAAAACAGGAGUAUGGGUUAUGGAGGAAAGUGAACGAAAAUAGAGUUUAGGUGAGGGAAGAGGAGUUAAGAUCCUCUCCAUUUAUGUCCUCCUCCAUUUCUUUAAUUUUGAGAGAUAAAAGACAAAAAAAGUUUUGAAAAAAGUAAAAAAUAAUUAAUAAUGGUGGAACCCAUUUAAUGGUAUGACCCAUAUUUUAUUUUUUGUGUGUAUUUCUUUCUAAAUGGUAUCCUUCGUUUAUUUUCAUAAAUGGAGAGGAUCCUUACUCAGUAAUUAGUGAUUUUGAGACUUUUACAAAUCAUGAAUUUAUUUACAGUUGUGUUAUAGAUUCUACAUUAUUACUUUUUCUAAAACUCAUCCACGAUUGUACGUAUAUUUUUGUAAAAAACACGACUCAUGUUUAUUGGAGAUAACAAAAAAAUUAUCCUAGUGGCAAGUGAUUCGGUAGGAGGCAAUAGCCUCAGACUAAUUGCAAGCGAAAUAAAUGGGUCAAAAUGACUAGUUUCCUACUCUUACGACACAAUGAUGAUAUUGUUCACAACUCGAAGACCAAUAGAUAAUGCAAUGCAGAGGGGAAUUUGUUUACAUACAAAUAAUUAUCAUGUUAGCUGAAAUCAGCAGAUAUCCAUUUAAAGGCUGAGAAAAUUGUCUCCAAAUUGAUGGAAUGUUAGGAGAAAGUUAUAACAACCAAACUAGGGAUAGAUGAUUCUAACUCAAGUCUAUUGACUAGUAUGUGAGUGUUGAAUACCUAAAAUUGAGUCAAAGAUAGGUAGAACUCGACAAUGAGGUAUAAAAUCGAUGUUCCAUGUUUAUAGCGCCAUUAACUGCAAGGAGCGAUGAGUUAAGACACAUAUUGUGAGGGAAGGUUGUGCAUAUGAACCUUGUCAAAGGAUCAUACUGUGAAGUGGAAAGUUUAUAACCGACGUGGACGCCACAAACCUUUUCACAAAGUAAAACCAAAGCAUUACCCGUGAAAAUAGUCGAGCGAUGUUAUACAUUCUAGGUCAUGUUUUUCGGUAUGUAGGUCAUGAUAAAUCAAAUCGCAAGCUACUUUCGCUAUUUUAUUCAUUUACAAUUUUGACUUUAUCUUUAUUUCAUCAAUUUCUUACUAUGGUAGCAAAAACAAAACAAACAAAAAAAUGUGUUUAACGCUUUACUGGAGCGGUUAACAAACCCACUUUAAGAAAGGGAAUCAUCAUUGAGGACAUCAUCCAAUAACUUGACUAAUCUCUAACUCCAUCAACAAUUUCUGAGAAAUAAAUAAAUUAACAAGAACAAAAAGCUCUUCAACAAGUCAAAGUAAAAAAACAAUUUCCCAUCUCAUGCUACUAAUGUAAAAAAGUAAAACGGUCAUAUAAAGAUGAAAUGCCAAGUACCCAUUAAAAAGAUGGUGAAACUUUUUGAAUCGAAUUAUAAGUUGUGAAAGAUGGAAUUAGAAGUUGUGAAAGAUGGAUUUGUGGAAAACUUCAUAAUCGGAGUGGGUAUUUUAUUUUGUCUCUAUUUAUUUAUUUUUUAACUUUAUAUGUAUUUUAUUUUAACCAACGAUUCACUGCUCGUGAUUUCAGAGGGAAUCCAUCCUCCUAACUUUGCAUUUUAUUUGUUUCAUUUUUUUUCUUCACUCUAUUCAAAAUUCACUUUAAUCUAUUCAUUCUCUAACAAGUCUCAAGAUACUUAUCAUUAUUAUAUCUUUGAAUUUCUUAAAAUUUUGAGUAUACUUUUACUUUGAAUAUAUCUUAUAAUUUCUAAUUAAACUGCAAUAGAUUAUACUUUGGACAUGGUCCCCCUAAGUGUAAUUUCUGACUCCAUCCAUGAAAAACCACAACCGGCUAUGGAGGUUCGGUAAAUAACUUAAAUAUUAGCACUACGGCAAGCUGAUAAACUAGAAAUACAAUUCCAAGAACCAAAGAGAAUUGACUCUCAAUAUUUACUCAAUCAAACUCUACCUUUAUUUCAUAAAAUGAAUUACAAUAUAUAGAGAAAUUUCAAUCCUAAGUGGAUCAACAUAUCUCUAAAAAAAUAAAAACAAAUUGAUAAAGUAUUUGCAAGACAUGUGAAUUAUAUGCCAUCAAAACUAGGUUGUAAGCGUCUCUAGUUAAAUGUCAAAUCCAUGACUAUGGAUUUAAAUAUUCAUAUUUUGCUUGCUGUACAAUUCAAAUUUUAAAAGAUUUUCAUAUGAUGAAAAUGUCUAGUGGUAUUCGAUUAAGAUUUUUGUUUAAUUUAAGGAAAAGUUUGGUGGUAUUCAACUAAAAUUUUUUAAACGUUUUAAAUUAACCAUAGAAAUAAUAACAUAUUCAAUCAAGACUUUUUACAAUUUAAAAAAUUCUUGUGGUAAUUUCGGUUGAAAUUAAUUUGGUUUAAGUGUAACUUGGGUUGAAAUUAAUGAUUUUUAGCAUUUCUAUGGUUUGACGUUUGAAUGGAGAGAAAUGAACAUAUUGAACAGAUAACAAUUUAAUUUUAUAACAAACACAAAAUACAAAUUGUUUAAACAUACAUAAUAAAUAACAUGAAGGUAGAUUACAAACCCUUAUGAUAUGAGAAUUAUCACAGACUCUAAGUGAGCAGCAUAUGAAAAUGAUAUGCUUAGAACUUGAACAAUUAGGUUAUACAGUAUACGAGAAUCCACUAAGCAGUAUGUAUCAAAUAUAAACACGAUUAGAAAGGCAUGUUCAGAUAUAUGUGCUUCAAAAUUAUAUUCAUAUAUAUAUAAUCAGAUAAGUUGUGGCUCAGGCAAGCUUCGAACUAUGUCUGGAUGAGAGUACGUUCCGAAUGGAUGGCCCACUUCCGCUAGUUGAAGUGGAAGUAUAUAUGUUCCGACUGGAUGGCCCACACGACUACAAGAGGAGUCCAGUUCUAGCCCUCAGAUAGGGAAUUUAUCCGGUCAGCAGAGGAAUGUAUCUGGGGUUACUCCACUCGGAUCCAUUUCGUAAAAUGAACUCAGAUAAUAUUGUUUAUUCAAUGCUAACCUUCUAACAUUAAUAUGAAAACAUGAUAUAAAUAUGAUUAUAACAAUAUACAGUUAGUGAUCCUAGAUCUCCCCCCGAUCACUAAGUUAUGUGGAACAGCACAAUAGAUUCUAAAUUAAGUUAUGCACAUACAAAUGGCAAUCACAGACUCCCGAGAUUUACUCCAACCUAAGAUAGGUGGAACUCACUGAGACAUCUUGUCUCACCCCAAUCCUUUUACUUUAUUUCAGAUAAGCAGAUUGCUUAUGGCAAGGAUCAAUAGAAGGAAGUCGGAUGAUUUACCUACAUAUACAUGCUUCGUACCAGUAUAGAUAAUCUUCUAUGUUUUCAGAUAUGUAUCAGAUGUAUGUAUUUGACAGAUGUUAUUUUUAUUAGAUGUACGGACCUGUGAUGAAGUUUGUAAUCAUUUGAACGAAAUUUUGUUGUAAUUUUAAUGUAUCAAUUACUAAUUUUAAUGUGUAUGAUAAAUAUUCUAGAUAAAUUUAGUAUGAGCGUUAGAAUAAUCCAACUUAUAUUUACUAUCAAUAUUACUUACACGUGAAUAGGAGGCAAGCGGGCAACAAGCUGCGCCGCUAGACCUUUUUGGAUGGCAAAACCAAUCAUCGUAAACACAGCAUUCAUGGACCUAGGAGACAUAACAUUGCUAUGCAUAACCCUUUGGACUCUAUGUAGAAGGUCAACUGCCUCUGAUGCUAGGAAGCCAAAAGUGUCAAAAGCAAAUAGUAUAAAAGCAUGUUGAUUGUCAGAGCUGCCUGUCCUACCGUAAAAGCCCCCACCCCUAAACCCACAAGUGGUGAAACCCCAGUCAAGUCCACACAUGCACGUUUUCCUCCAAUCCAUCCGUACACCAUAACAUCUGCAUGCCUAAGUGUUGAUCUUCUAUCUAGUGGGUCAGUCAGAAAGUUCACAGGUGCCUCCUUCUUCACUGAUACUCCCGCUCGCCUGAAUAUAUCAAAAAGUACAUCCCUAACAAAGUCAUGCCUGUACUUAAAGCCGGGAAGCUCCUUACAAUGAAUGGCAUGCUCCCCAAAAGUAUACAGACACGCCUUACGACAAACAUCUCAUCAAUAGGAAAAAGUGGAAUCAUAAGACGAUUAUUAUUGUAAAUAUGGAAGUCAAUUUCAGUAAGAUGACAAAUCCUAGAUUCCACAACGGGACCUGCAACAUUUCCAAGAGAAAUGAGUCAUUAGACGAUGUUUCCUAAUGUAUGAGUUGUUUUUAUUAUUUUCUGCAGAUAUGGCAACUGCACAACAAUUUGUAUUUUGUGUUUAGUCGUCUGUGCAAUAUGCUCAUUAGGCUGCAUCGCGGGAUAGGUUUUGCUUGAAACCUAAAAUUUAGAUCAUGGAAUAAAGAUGGCCGUCAUACUAUUGCUGCACUUGGUGCUAAAGUUGACAUGAAGCCUUGAUUGUAGUGAAUGAGAUAACAAUGUUUAUUCCUGAGAUUUUUUUUUGUUAAAUAUUUUGAGACAUUAAUUUUAUUGUUGAAUGAUAAUGUUUGUUUGUUUUGGAUUAGGAUCUCAAGCUGUUGUUGUCAAAGAAUCUUUGAGACCAUUGCCUUCAAUUUCUACUGAUGUAGUUGUUGCUAUGGAGGCUAAGAUUGAAGCAUUAACCGCUGAACUUGAAAAGAAAAAUCGUGAACAAGAAACAAUAAAAGAGAAGAUGGGUGCUUGGAGCAAAUACUUAGGAAUCUUGUGCCUAAUAUGAACUCAUCAAUUCAACCUGAAGGAGAGGGUGAUAAUGGUAACGACGAGAUAGAUGAUCUUUAGCUUGGUUACCUUUAUUUUGAUAUCUUUUGUUAGAUCAAACAUAUCAUGAUCUUUUAAAUUUUAGAUAACUUUAUACUGGUAACAACUAGGUAGAUUAAUCAUUAAAUUUAGUUUGGUUACGUUUAUAUUGAGAUUAUGUGAUGAUGUUUUGUUGUAUGAGGGUUCCAUUAUGUCCCUUUUUCAAACUUGAUGUGUAUCAAAAUAUUAUUGUGAUGUUCUUGAGAGUUAAAAGUUAAAUGUAGCAAAUAUAAUGAUAUUUUAUACAUUGUUUUAGCACUAAACAUUAGGAAUAUUGAAGCAAUAUUUUUUUUAAAAAUCAUUAUAGAGACGAAAUAUUAGUAAAUAGAGACAUAAAUUAUUACCUAUAUUAUGGUGUUCAGAGACGGAAUUUUCUAGUUUAGAGACGGCAGUUUCUGUCUCUGUCAGAGACGGAUUUAUUUCCACCCCUAUAAUUCUCAUCGACGGAAUCUGUUAGUUAGAGACGGAUCUAUUCAUUCUAAUCUGAGACGGAAAUGCAAAUCCGUCUCUAAAGUGUUUAGCGACCACGAAAUCAACGAUCAAACUUGUUCCGUCUCAGACAUGUAUAGAGACGGAUUUUAUUCAUUUUAGAGACGGAUUUUGUGCAACACCCUGUUUUCCAACGUAAAAAUUUCAUUUAAUUAAUCAGAGUUUUCCACGUAAACGGAAUGUCACAUUCUUUUCUUAAAAUCAUAAACUGAAUAAAUAACUAUUUAUCCUUUAAAAUUCAAUAACAAAAUCUUUAAUACUUCGCAGCGGAAUAUAUUCAAUAACUAGACAGUCUUUGGCACGAAGGCCUCUUCAUAAAUGUCUCAUAAAAAUCCACUCUAAAAACAUAGUCAUAUAUAAUCAUCAUAUAUAACAAUUACAAAUGCAUGUCAUCAACAUCUCAAUCAUCAAACAUAAUUCAUGCAAUAUAUAUCUAAUUAUAUAACAUUAUAAAUAUCAUCAAAUCAUCAUAUAACAACUUCACAGAUCAUCAUUAAUAUCAUAUAUAUUCCUCAUUACUAUCCCAAGGUUCAACUAAUAACAACUCAUGCGACAAAGAUCGCAUUUAACCUAAACAAGGCAUUCUGUAAUACUAGUGCUCGCGAGGCGAGAGCCUCUGCUCGCCAUGGCGAGUUCAGUCAGAUUCUCCAAAGUUUCAUUCUAAGUCUUUCCAGGUUCAAUCUCAAAAGUCAAAAUCACGAAAUCUUGCAUGCUCUCUGAUCAAGCUCGCGAGGCGAGUUCAACUACUCGCUAUGGCGAGCUGCAACGUGCAACUCGCGAGGCGAGGAAAGGUUGCUCGCGUGGCGAGCGAUGAAAUUCAUCACUCACCGUGGCGAGGAUCAUAGCUCGGGAGGCGAGCGAUGAAUGUCGUUACGGGCAGAAGUGUUGUUUUGCCUAAAAAUCAUCAACUCUCAUGGUUUUAAGCCUAAUCUCGAUUCCAGAAUUCAUCAUAAUUAUUAUCUAAGGUCUAGGAACAAUUUCUACAUCAUUCUAACAAGUUUUCACCGAUUAAUCAUCAAUUCUAUCAAUUUGACCUAAUUUCCGAUUCCUCUUAAACUCAUCCUAAUUCAUGUUAAAUGUAACCGUUGAUUCACAGACUUAAUAGAAUUGCAAAGUUAGUCUCACCCUUACCUUAAAGAAAUGAAAAUCGCAGCCUCUAGGUCUUCUCUCUCUUCUCUUGGCCUUUUCUCCCUUUUCUCCAAAAACAGUCGUACGUUAUGUUUUUUUUUUUCUAAACUAGAUCUCUCCUAUUUAUAUAAAUCCUUAACCUACUUAUUUUUCUCUUAUAUCCAAAUAUUAAUAUUCUAUUCUAAUAUAUUUCUAUAACAAAUAACAAAUAUAUCUCUAAAAUAAAUCAUAUAUAUUUCUACAACAAAUCAUGUGUAUUUCUACAACAAAUAACAUAUAUUUCUACAACAAAUAACAUAUAUAUUUCUAAAUCAAAUAGCAUAUAUAUUUCUAAAUCAAAUAGCAUAUAUAUUAUACUAAAAAAAAAACCAACAUAUAACAUAACAAAAUAUCACUCAUCAAAAUAAAUCAUAUAAAUCACACAAAUCAUAUAAGUAUAUUCUAAACUCAUUAAAAUAAUCAAAUAAUUAAAGAGGGCGUUACAUUUUGCCUGUCUCUAUCUUCAAUUUUUCUGGUAGUGUUAGUAACGAGAGUUGUUUAUGAUGCGAUUUGGGUCGAUUUUAAAGCUAAAAUUCAUCUGAUCCAAAUAGAAAAAUAACAUAAUACUUGGUUUGAUUUGCAUUUCUCAUUUAAAAUAAUGUGAUUCAAUUAAAUAUGGUUUAAUUUGGAUUGAUUUUAGGAUAUCCAAAUUAGAAUUGUAAAGAAAUUAUAAGGUAAUUAGUUUAAUGUAGAUAUAACAUAUAAUAUACUAAAAUUUAAUAUUACUGAAUGAGAGUGAUUCAUUUACAUUUGAAAUAUAAAAACAAUUAUGUAUGUGAUUUGGUUAUAAAAAAUAAUAUGUAAUCCGGUUCAAAUAGUUUUCAUAAAUGGUCAUUGAAAUACAUCCAAUGAUUUUUAAUUUUGUGUGCAGUUUUUUGUUUUUAUAGAUCAAAUUGUUUUUGAAUUGGUUCAAUUUAGAUAUCAGGGAAGAGGAAUGUGAGAAUUACGGUUUGCACGAAGAAUGCAAAGAUUGCGUUGGGAAUGUUGAGGAUGAAGGUGAUGAUUGCCAUGUUUCAAUGAUUGGAAAUGAUUGGAUUUGAUGACUGUGUUGUUGACGAAAGGAACUCUGUAAUUUAUAACACGCGUUGAUAAGGGUUGAUUUCAAAUGAGAUUGAAUUGUUGAAAGGGUUGAUUUUCACCGUUGGAUUUCACUCUAUCAACGGCUAAAAACCUCGAUCCGUGUGUUGGUGGAUUACAACUUUACAACCGUUGAUUUCAAGGUUCAAACGGUGAUCUGUGCGUUGCGUCGGUGUCAAAUUUUCAUUUGUUUUUUUAAUCCGAUAAAAUUGGAGUAUGAAAGUUUCAUGACACACAUCAUUAUUAGAUAUAAUUUUUAUAUUUGUUUGUGUAAAUAUUUAAAAAGAUGAUCAAUAUUUUUUAUCUAUAUGAUAUGCCACAUGUCGCUUCCACAUUUAUUCUCAAUAUUUUUAUUAUUUUUUCUAUUUUUAAAACCAAUAUUUUAUUUUGCAUAAUAAAAAUAGAUAAAAUAAUACAUGUUUCAUAAUAAUGAAAUGGUGUGAUAAAUUGAAAAAUGAAAUGAAGUAUUUAUAGUAGAUGAAAUAAUACAUGUUUCAUAAUAAUUGUAGAUUUUAUGGUGUUUUAUUUGUUGUAUAAUUUUAAUUAGUUUUUUUAAAUUAAAUUAUUAUUAAUAUUAUUUAUGCAUGCAUACGUAUCCCAAUCCUUCAAAAAAAAAUUGUCCUUAUUAUACCACUCUACUCCAAGUAGAGGGGUAUUUAAAAAUUAAAAAAAAAAAAAAAAAAAAAAACAAGAAAAUACCCCGCAAGUCAAAAUGGAGGGGUAUUUAAAAAAAUUUAAAAAAAAUGGGAAAAUUCCCCGCAACUCCAAGUGGAGGGGUAUAAUAAGGACAAAUUUUUCACCAACUUUUAGGGUACCCCGCAACUUCAAGUGGAGUGGUACCAUAGACCCAUGAAAAAGUAGGGCAUUUCUGCAAUUUUUCGAAAAAGUGGGGUAUUUUUGUGUAUUUUUAUUAUUCUCAAUAUUCUUAUUUAUUCUACAUAUAACACUUUUAACAAAGCUUACAUAUAUUUUUAUUUUGACAAAAAAAGGGGGUUUCCAUUAAUUAUUAUGUUAUCUUUUAGAAGCAUAUUCUAAUGCAAAUGUUAACUAUAAAUAAAGGAAUUUUUGUAAUCACAUAUUUUAAGCACAAACAGAAACCACAAACCUUCUUUUCAUCCAACCUUUUUCCUUCUUUAGGUUUGCCAAACACUAAUUCUAUUAUUUCUCAUACAUAUACUUUGAUAUAUAUAUAUAUAUAUAUAUAUAUAUAUAUAUAUAUAUAUAUAUAUAUAUAUAUUUCAACCACUUUCUAAUGCUACUUUUUAAUAUAACAUGUUUUCAUCUUUUUGUUAUUUUCAUUUUUUUUUAUUAAGACAACUUUUCAACCAUCUUAAACAUUUUUGCUAAUGUUUACACAAACACAAACACUUACAACAUUCCGACUAGCAAGGUGCAUGUACAUUCACACAAGUGUUUUUAUUUUUAUGCAUGUGACAAAAAGAAGAAAGAAAUCGAAAGAAGAUAAAAUAAAGUGAUAUAAAAUUUAAAAAAUAACUUAGUUAUUUGAUAGAUAAUAGAUGCAUAAGACAUAAAUUUAAUAGAUGUUGAAAUUUAAAUUCACUUUGUAUUUGUAACAUAUAUAACCUUCAUUAUCACAUAACAUUCAAGACUCUCUGAGUCAUGCCUACCAUAUGAACAUUUGAGAAAAUGUUAGAGUUGGAUACCAACUUAUUUGGGAGUCGCUCUUUUUGAUGUCAUUUGCUCUGGCCUUAUAAAAAAUAUAUUAAUUAUGUUUUAUAUAUUUUGUUAAUAUUCGCAACACUUAAAUUUUUAAAAUUAAAGUAAAAUUCUAAACUUUUGAUAGAUAUAGUACAUGAUUAAAUUUAUCAAUAGGAGUAUCCAAGUUUUUUUUUUUUUUUUGAGAGAAGGAGUAUCCAAGUUGUAUCUCUAACUUUAUCAAUAUUUGAUAGAAUUUAAUUGACUCCUAACUAAAUUUUAGAGUAUCGGGUCUUUUCUCCAUAGGAAUUGGAGGAAUGUGACUGAACUUUAAUUUUCUAUCCAAAUUUAAAAAUUUAAAAUACUAUCAUCAUAGAAUGAAAAAGAAUAAACAACAAAUUAAAUACAAUAAAACUUAAAGAUUUUUUAUUUUUUGACAAAAACAAAACAAUAUUCAUUCAUUCAAAUCAAUAGAGUACAUCAUUCAACACCGCUAAAAACGUAAAGGAUGAAUCUGCAAACAAACUCAAAACAUUCAAGUUAUUAGCAUAUAACGGCGUAAUGCCUACAAAUAUAUAUGAUAAAAUUAAAAUGAUCGGAAUGUCUCCGGAUCUGCAAUGCUGACGCCAAAUCUUUGAUUGAAUAAUCAAUCUUUCAAUAUGAAUCAAAUGAACACCGCAACAAGAUGGAAAAUCAAACAACGUCCGCACAGGACGACGAACAACACACCACCACACUCAGAUGACAAAAUCACGAAGAAAAAACCUAGAUAGAUGUGAAAAUAACUUGUUUAGAUUGAAAUUGUAACACCCCGUUAACACAACAACAUAAUUAUUAAAUAAAAUCAGAGUUAAUCAACAAACGGAGUGUCACACUGCUUUUCAAAAAUUCUUAAAUAAGAUAAAAUGUUAUUCAUUAAAUAAUAGUUUCAAUAAAACAUAUCAAUUCAUCGCAGCGGAAUUUAUUUUCAACGUGUUACAACUUUCAAUAAGUCUAGCACAAGGCCUCAACAGUUUGUCUUUAAAGAUCUAAUCCAUCACCAACAAGUUCAUAAUGAUAUAUAAGGAAUGAUAAAUACAACGACAAUAUUCCCCAUCCCGUUACGUAUCAGAGCACCUAAGACUCAUAUGAGGAAUAGUCCUUUCACGACAGCAACUAACAGCUACUACUCUGGAUCACCUGCAAGUUACUCAUACGAAGGGCAACAUUUUCAAGCAGAAGGGGUGAGAUUCACAAAUAAUAAUAAUAGAUAUAUAAAUCAUCAACUGUAUUUAACAACUUAAUUAAAUAACAUAAUUAGCAACAUAUAUUCAACAAUAAUGUUCACGCUUCUUCAACUUUAAUAACACUUACUAAUUCAACCAGCAACGACGACAACAACGACAACAACUCAAUCAACAACAAGGACAACAACUCAAUCAACAACAACGACAACAAGGACAACUACUACAAUAUGCAUGUGGUACCAUAAUAAGCCCCCAACAAUUUGAAUGAUAAACAUUCCAGGGCAUGAGCCCUCAACAAUUUGAAUGACAAGGCAUUCCAGGGCAUAAGCCCUCAACAGUUGAAUAAUUAACCCUUAACAAUUUGAAUGACAAGGCAUUCUAGGGCAUAAGCCCUCAACAGUUUGAAUGAUUAACAUUCCAGGGUAUGAGCCCUCAACAGUUUAUAAGUAUGCAAUGGACUCAACUUUGUGUAUAUCAACAUAUAGCUCAACUACAACUACAACAACAACGACAUGGACAACGACAACUGUGCAUAAAUAAUUAUGACUUACUCCACAACUUGGUCAACUAUGACACAACGACUCUUAACAACGAAAUUCAUCAACAUAGCAUAUAUUCACAUGAAUAUAUAUAUAUAUAUAUAUAAUACAUCAAUCAGUAAGCAAUCAUGUUCUUGGUAAACAAUGCAGUCACAUAUAAUCAAUACUAUAGUCUAAAGAAUCCAAUCCAACAAUACACGCUACAUGGUACACGAAACACCAGAUAUUCACGUCAAACCAAAUUAGAUUCAUCACAACAUAGGUUAAAUACUCUUAAACACCUUAAUUGAACUCAUAGUACUUCUAGUUUUGAGCUUUGGAAUUAUCCCAUAAGUUUUGGAUUAACUUAGAAAUGGUUAUGCUGAAUUUUCAUAAGAUUUCACUAAGACCUCCUUGGAGUAUUUUCAUCAUAUAUUGAAAACUAAAAAUCAUUUUCAAGUCAAACCAAAGCCAUUGGAAAGCUAACAAAAUUAUCUAAAACUUUCUUGUUUACACCAAAACCCAGUUCAAAGCGAAAAGGGGUGAAAACUAGUGAAAUAAGAAGGAUCUGAUUCACAAAAAUCGUGUCACGAUUUUAGAAAAUCGUGUCACAAUUUUAGAAAAUCGUGCCACGUUUUUGUGCCCAGAACCAUUGAAAUUUCGGCCAAAAAAAUCGUGCCACGCUUGCAAAAUCGUGACACGUUUUGACAGCAUCAGGUCCAGAAAUCUGCUUCUCCAAAAAGUGCGAUUUUCACCAUUUCGCGCGUAAAAUUCCAACCGUUAAUCGGAUUUUGGUGCCGUUUUCGCUUACACGCUCCUGACACUUGGCUCUAUCUUAAUCUACAGCAAUUUAAAGUCUCAACCAUCUCAAGGAUCAUUUUCCCAAACCUCACAUAGUCCCUUAUUUGCAAGAAUGUUUAGACACCGACUUUUCAAGCGAAAAUCCCAAUUUUCAUGAACCCAAAUCUCAAACUGAUUGGAAACUUAGUCUGUGAUUAAUCUACAAUCUAAACAUCCUUUAUCACCUUAAUCCAUCAGAUUACCUAUUUCUUCCAACGAUUCAAUUCUACAUUCUAACCCUAAUUCCCAAAUUCAUAAACAACUACAUGUUAACUCAAUUUCAGAAUUCAUAUAUAUGAUUAUUGAGAGUUAGCCUCACCCUUACCUUAAUUCUGACAAACGAAGCUCUACGAUCUCUCUAGUUCUUCACUUGGAUACCUUGGCUCUUCUCCCUUUUUCUCCCCCAAAGGCUUGUUUUCACGUGAAAACUAUUCUGACCUAUGUUUCUCCUAUUUAUUCCCUCAACCCUCUUUAUCUUAUUCCACUUAUUCCACUAAACUCUUUUAAAUUCUAAAACAGCUUCCACAACUUAAUCUUAUUUUAUUUUCAAAUCUUAUUCUAUUAAAUAAUAAAAUAACACCACUUAAUAAAAUAACAACAAACCACAUAAUCAUUUUAAUAAAAUACACCACACCAUGAAAAUCAACAUAAAUCAUUUAAAAUCAUAUAAAAGACUUUAAAUCAACCAAAAAUAGUUAGAUAACAAUUAGGGCGUUACAGAAAUGGAGUAGAAAAAGAUGAAGAUUGAUGAUUUUAGGUCAAAAAUUGACCCAAAACCACCUCUCAAUGAAGAAACUGGAAGAGAAAAAACUAGGGUCGGCUUGUUGGAGAGGGAGAGAGAAUAAGUGUGUUAAAUCAACAAAAUAAUGGAAUGAUUAAAAAAAACUCAAUUUUUUAAGAGAACUUAAAGUUAAAUCCUAGAGUCUCUUGAUCUCUAUAAUAUGAAUUAAUAACCAUUUAAACUCUUUAUUUUUUUUUAACAAACUAAAAUGAGAUAUAAUAAACACCAAAGAUUCUCUCCGCACAAGAUGUGCAAGAGGUAAACUCCUUCUAUUUUCCUCACUCACUUUCUAGUUCUUUCAUUCAAUAUGUUAGUAACAGCCUUUAAACACAUUUUUUUUAAACAAAAAACACAUUGUUUUUUAAUGUAAUAGAGGCAUGAUCAAUGAUUAUGUUAAGAAUUUGGGACGUAUAUUUUUGUAAUAAGCACGACUCUUUUUUUUUUUUUGAGAGCUAAUAAGCACGACUCAUGUUUAUUGGAGAUAACAAAAAAUUUGUCCCAAAAAAAUAAUUCAUCCCCGUUCACCAAAAGUACGUGCAGUAUGGACUACUUCAAUUAUAUUCUUAUGUAGUAUUUAAAUUUCAAACUAUAAAAUAAUUCAGAGCCAAAAUCAGUUGCAUCGAUCAAAUAAUUCAGAAGCUAAAAUCAGUUGCAUCGAUCGAUAUAUCUAAGGUAAGCUACUAGUUGUAAAUUCAUUGAAAACAUCAACCCCUGAAUACGUUCGAAACAUGUUGUUCCAAUUCCAAACAUUAUAAAAUUUUCACAAAAAAGGGAAUAUCCAUGGUUGAUAAAAUCCACAAUGCAUGUGGAAUAAUAAUUAGUAAAAUAAAAUAAAAAAAUCAUGAUGGGGUGGGAACAAAAAUAAAAUGUGUCUCAAAAAGUACAUGCCUAAAUGGUGUUCCCUUCAAUUUUGACAUAAUUUGGUACCUCAUAUGUACUAAUUACCAGACACACUUCAACAUUGUAAUGAGAACAUGGAAAAAAUAGUUUUCUUGGUGAAGAUAUUCAGUUCGCACUAAUCUCUCCAAAUUAAGAUUUCUAGGAAGCAAAUUGGCGUAAUAGAGAAUUGUUGUGAGAGUGGAAGUAGGUUCACACACUAGUGCCUUUGCCAGCUUCACCAAUGAACCAAACAUUAGGGGCACCGGCAUUAGAACCUACAAAAAGCAAAUCACAUCAAAUUCUAAUUAAUCACUUUAAGGUUUAUUAAAGGCCAAUUUUUUUUUUUUUUUUGUCUGUGAGCUUUUUUCAAUUGUUAGGGGUGGAGUUCGAACCUCAGAUUUCCCGACGUAUGAUAUAAGGGAUGAAUUUCUAACCAAUAGACUACUUGACCUAAAACAAAUAUAAAGUCAAUUCUUUGUUACCUAUAAAAAGAAUCUGGGUAACUUAUAUCAGCCAUCGUACAACUAUACUUCUUUUAAUUACAAACCACGAAUGCAAAAAAAAAAAAAAAAAAAAAAUUAAGAGGGAGUUAGCAUACCUACCAUGGCUAUAAGCGUUGUCGGUAGAGAAGAAGAGAAAUAACAAAAGCAGGUUAGGGUUUCAAAAGGAUGCAAAUUACCGAAUAUACUAUACAAACUUGAUACAAGAUUAAAUACUGAUAUCUGACUUGAAGCAAAAGACUUGACACAAAACAGUAAAUUUUAAUCCCUUACUUGUUGUAAAAGAAAUAUAUUAAUAUCUAUUUAUUGAGAUACAUAUAAAUCAAGAACAAAUCAUAAUAAAAAUAAACAAUAUAAAAUCUAAUCCCAACUUCUCAAAUUAAAAAAAAAAAAAAAAAAAGGUACUCUCAAGUGAUAUUCUAAGAUACUAUUUUUAUUUAAUAGAGAUAAUGCGAUACUCUUUUUUAUUUGUGGUGAUUAAUAGAGUACGCUAAUAUAAUGUAAAAGAUACAAACAAAAAAAUAUAAUUCUAAUGAUGAGUGAAAUUCAUGUUGCUUGUGUGCAAGUGUGAGUUAUAUGUCCCGCAUCAGAUGAAAGAGUAAAGGUUGAGCACCUUAUAAGUAAGAGGACCCAUAAACCCACUGCCUUAAGGUUUUGGGUAAGAGUGUGGUGUCUUUCUUGCUUGUGGGGUUGUUCUAGCCUCGAUGUGGACGGUCUCCUGAGCUCCCCCAGUGACCCAACAGUGGUAUCAGAGCCCCGGUUCGACGAACGGUACGACCGAGGUCGCUGGUCAGUUGCGCAGAAAGCAGCAACGACGGUACAAACAACAAGUGGCUCACGAUAAAGUGAUGGACUCACACUUGAGGCAGAGUGUUGUUGUGUGCAAGUGUGAGUUAUAUGUCCCACAUUGGAUAAAAGAGUAAAGGUUAAACACUUUAUAAGUAAGAGGACCCAUAACAUCAUUGUUUUAAGAUUUUGGGUAAGAGUGUGAUGUCUUUCUUAAUUAUGUGGUUAUUUUAACCUCGAUGUAGACGGUCCCCCAAACUCCCCUCCAGACCCAACAAUUCCUACGGAGAAAUUCUCAGCCAACAUUCACCUAAUAAUUAAUUGUUGGGGAAGGCAAUCAAAUAACACCUACUUAUAAUCAAUCAUUACCAUGCAAGUCCUUUUGAUCAUAAACUCCUGGCCUUGACAAUAAGAACUAUAUCCCCUCACACACACACACAAAAAUUAGUAUAUCCCGUAAAAGAAAAUUAGUAUAUAUCGCAUGUUCUUUAUUUUGCAUUUUUUAAGGGUCUUAAAUUGUUAUUUAAAAAAGUUAAAUAGUUCAGUUUUCGAUGCAUUAAAUGCAUAAUUUUUAAAAAAAAAAUUAAUAUUAAAGACCCUUAAAGAGUAUCUCGGAAGCACUCGUUAACAUUUCACCUUUUUAAUGAAUUGUCACUAAGUAUUCUUAAUAGAGUGCAUAACUAUUCGAUGGAGUCAAAUUUAGAAUGUCACUAUUUUGCUAGUAGAUUAACCGAGAAAGACAGUGAGGUUGUUGUUAACGGAAUAUGGUGAGACCUAAAAUAAUAUUUGACAAAUAUAAAGCAAGUUUACAAUGCACGUCAAAGAUACAAAAAAUGCUUCAAAACUGAAAGGCUAGAAAACUGUUUAAAUGUUUGGAAGAUCAUAAAUAUGUUUACAAGUUUAGAAUUGUAUGUGAGUCUACAAUUGUACAAGAUAUAUUAUGGGCUUAUCUUGAUUCUGUAAAGUUGUUUAACAUUUACUAUUUUGUUGAUCGGAUCCACAUAUAAACCUAAUUAGUACAAAAUGCCAUUGUUUAAGAUAGAUGAGGUGACCUCAAUAGAGUUGACAUAUUAUGUUCGUUUUUCAAUUUUUACGUCCAAAGAAGAAGAAAAAAAACCUCACUUGGGUUCUAUAAAAUUGUCAUGAUCUUUCGAAAGUAUGAAGACGAUAUCGCAAAGGUGGUUGUGACUAACAUGGAUACCGCACUAAUGAAUAUUGUCGUCAAUGUUUUCCAUAAACUACUGCUUGUGUAAGUUUCAUAUUUCUAAAAAUGUGAAAGCUAAAUGCAAUACGGAUUGCAAAGUCAAAUCUAAGAAUUUCAAAGAGAAAUAUUACUAAGAGGUUGAUGGCAAAGAAAAGGAUUCAUAUGUGGUGGAUGGCAACGAUAAGGAUGCCAAAGAGGUGAAGUCUAAGGAGUUAGUUAACAACAGUGUGAAAUCGUGAGAAAAUAUGCUUGAAUCUCCUUUGAAAGAAUCAUAUGUUGAAGUCAUUGUGCAAUUUUGAUAGGUGGGUGGGAACUUCGCAAAUCUACUCAACUAUAUGGAAAGUACCAUAUUGAAUAUGUUCAAGGAAAAAUUGUGAGGGCAUGGAAAAACAGUGUCUUGCAUCUUGGCAACGAUUUGUGACUCUCGUUCGUAAGGGAACGGUUCAUAACUUUCAGUGGGGGUAUAUUCGAAAGUUUGAGGUGCUUGUGGGUAAUUAAAUGUGAAUGAAUAAAAUAUUUUUAACAUAUCCCACAUAAAAUGUAGAGUAAACUAUUCGUGUAAAAAAUCAUUAUUAAAAACAAUAACAAUCACAUCAAUAAUUUGAAAUCCCUCAACAACAUAUAUGAAGAAAUUACAUAUAAGUCUUUGUUUGAUCUACAUACAUAUAAAAGACAGGUUGGGAUUCACUAAGCCAAAAGAAAGAGAUAUGUUUUAUUGCAUGAAUAACAUGUGGUUUUUUGCAUGUAAUUCUCUAGACAUUGGUUUACUGCAUGGAUAACAAUUGCGGUGUUGCAUGUAUUUUUCUUGACAAUUGUUUUGUUGCAUGGGUAACACUUAAAUUGUUGUAUGCGUACCUUUUGACACUUGGCUUGUUGUAUGUAUUUCUCAUGAAUCAUGACAUUUGGUUUAUUGCAUAAGUAACACUUGGCUUAUUGCAUUGAUUUCUUUUCACACUUGGUUUGUUGUAUGUAUUGUUCAUGAGUCAUGACACUUGGUUUUAUUUAAUGGAUAACACUUGACUUGAUGUAUGUAUUCCUCUUGACAUUUGGCUUGUUGUAUUUAUUCAUCAUGAGUCAUAACACUUGGUUUAUUGCAUGGAUUACACUUGGCUUGCUGCAUUUAUUUCUCUUGACAUUUAAAUUAUUGCAUGUAUUCCUCACGAGUCGUGACACUUGGCUUGCUGCAUGUAUUCCUCUUGACAUUUGGCUUGUUGCAUGUAUUCAUCAUGAGUCGUAACACUUGGUUUAUUGCAUGGAUGACAGUUGGCUUGCUACAUGUAUUCCUCAUGAGUCGUGACACUUGGUUUAUUGCAUGGGUAACAUUUGGCUUGCUGCAUGUAUUCCUCUUGACACUUGGCUUAUUGCAUGCUUUCUUGGUUGUCAUGAUACUUGGUUUAUUGCAUGAGUAACAUUUGGCUUGCUGAAUGCAUUCCUCUUGACACCUGGCUUGUUGCAUGUAUUCCUCUUGAAACUUGGCUUGUUGCAUGUAUUCAUUAGUCAUGACAUUUGGUUUAUUGCAUGGGUAACACUUGACUUGCUGCAUGUAUUCAUCUUGACACUUGGUUUGUUGCAUGUAUUCCUCCUGAUUCGUGACAUGUGGUUUAUUGAAUAGUUAACAUUUGUCCUCCUGCAUGUAUUCCUCUUGACAUUUGGCUUGUUGCAUGUAUUCCUAAUGAGUCAUCACACUUGGUUUAUUGUAUGGGUAAGACAUAGCUUGUUGCAUGCAUUACUUUUGACACUUGGUUUGUUGCAUGUAUUUCUAAUGAGUCAUGACAUUUGGCUUAUUGCAUUAGUAACAUUUGGCCUUCUCCACGUUUUCCUCUUGACACAUGAUUUGUUGCAUGUAUUUCUCAUAGGUCAUGACUCUUGUUUUAUUGUAUGGGUAACACCUAACUUGUUGCAUGCAGUAUUCUUGACACUUAGGGAUGCAUUUUAGUCCCCCAAUGGUACAAAUGAUAAGGUCUUUUAGUUGACAGACAAAGUAGGGAAUGAUUGUCAUUUUGUCAUUUUAGGAAGUUUGUAUUUCGGCUAGAGUUUUGCUAUUAUGGGCAGAACUUUCUUCCUUUUAUACAUAAGAUGUAGUAAAAGGAGGGUUGGAACACCAUUUUUGCUGAAACACAAUCAAUUCUCCCUGCCUUAAAGGCCGGAAGUCAACUCUAAAACAUCAUUUUGAUGUGUUUUAGUAAGCACGAUUCAUGUUUUAUAAAUAGAGUAUUACUUAUGUAUAACUACACAGACUAAUCUGUAAUGUCUUGUAAAAUUUCAAUAAAAAGUAAAGUUUUUCUUCAAAAGUUUUAACAUCGUUGCAUUCAUAGAACUUUAUCGAACCUAAAUUAAACUAUCUAAUUAUGUAUGACUUCAAUUAUGUCUUCGGUGGUAUUUAAAUUUCAAACUAUCAUCAAAUUCAGAAGCUAAAAUCAGUCGCAUCGAUCAUAGCAAAGUUAAGCCAGUAGUAGUAGUUGUAGAUUCAUAGAAAACAUCAACCUCAAGUACAUUAGAAACAUGUAAUUCCAAUUCCAUACAUUUUUUCUAUAAGCAUCCAAUUUCAAACAUUAUAAAAUGUCUCACAAAGUUUAUCCAUCGUUGAUGGCAUGACUCAUAAAAAGUAAAAAAUGUGUCUUAGGAAACAUAAAACAUCUAUAUACAUUCCCUUUUUCAACAACUCUACUAAGCUACCACAUGGUGUGCCUCCAAAAGUACAUACAUUAAAUGGAUCUCUUGAAUUUUCACAUAAUUUGAUAAGAAAAAUCAUGCAUGUCCUAGUAAUUACCAGACACACCUCAGCAUUGUAAUGAGAAAAUGGAAGAAAUAAUUUUCUUGGUGAAGAAAUUCCCUUCGUACUAAUCUCUCCAAGUUAAGAUUUCUUGGAAGCAAAUUUCCAUAAUAAAGAAUGGUUGUGAGUGUUGUAGUAGGUUCACACACUAGUGCCUUUGCCAGCUUCAUAAGUGAACCAAACAUUAAGGGCAUUAGAAUCUGCAAAUGCAAAAACCAAUCACAUUAAAUUAUAAGAAACAGUUCAUUUUUUAAGUUCCGUGUUCUAUGCUUAAAACAUGAAAUGCAUGUCUAAAAGUCAAUCAAUUACUUCAUUUGAUCCUCAUUAUAAGGUACAAUUUAUUUUUUAAGUUCAUUGAAUAAUUGAUGUAUAUGGUUUGUAAUACGGAUCAGAUACAUCAAUUAUUCAAUGAACCUAAAAAGUGAAUUAUGUCUUAUUACAAGGACCAGAGAGAGUAUUGCAUUCACAAAGAAUGUGCUUAGACUUUGAAAUUAAUGUGAAAAUUACAAACAUGCUACACAUUUUUGUGUUUACUUCAACUAGAAUUAAAGCUCAAGGAAAAAUGCAUGACAAUAUCAACAACAUUAUGUUAAUAUGAAAGUAAAUAGAACUAGUUGAACAUUAAUUGAUAAUAUGCACCAAAUCAAUUAAUAUUAGCUAUACUUCUCUUAAUUGCAAUCCAUAAAUUUCAAAGAGAGUGAGUUAGCAUACAUACCAUGGUUAUAAGUGUCUUAUUGAUGAGUGAAGUUGGUAGAUAGAAAAGGACUCGUGGUUGGUGAUGAACAAGCAAAUAUUUUGGUUUUCACCAAAAUCAAGUAUAGAAAAAGGUAAGAGGGGAGAGUGAAAAAGAUGUAAAUGAAGUGAACUACCAAUGAGUUUGUGUGCUAGUUGUUUGUAGGAGUGGACACUACAAAAUGCUUUAAAAGUGACUCGGAUGAAAGUAACACCCCAAACAUAUAUAUAUGCAAACAAACAAAUGAAAUGGCUUUUCACCAUGAAAUAAGUGCUACCAACCAUUGGACCUUGUUAUAGCUCCAGCCAGCAUUGAUCUUAUCGACAUCUCACUUAAACAAAGAAAUUUUUGCCAAAACAAGAAUGAAAUCUAUAAAACAUAAAUGGGUUACUAUGUUCAAAUAUGUAUUUUAAGAAUGUAUUUACUUAAAUUAGAGUUCUUUUUGACGAUUAAAAAAAAAUCUAUCCUUAAAAAAAAAUCUAAUUGAAUCUUUUAUAUACGUAAAAUUUCUAGACUUUUUUUUUUCUUUCGGAGUUUGACACUCGGACCUUGCAUAUAUUAUGCAUUGUCCCUACCUGUGGGGCCCAGUUAUUGCCACAUUACAACAUACAUUUGACAAAAUGGAAGGUUGCUUGUGAUGACAAAUAGCAAGGUGCAUGAUGUACAUAUGGUGUAGUGUAUGAGUGACACAUGUUGUGGUGCAUAUUGCAAGGGACACUUGAUGUUUUACAUGAAAGUCAAAUGACAAGUGUCUUUAUGCAUGUAAGACAACUUUAACUUACUUCUCCUAUAAAUAGGAGCAUAAACAAGUUUAUACUAAAUAUAUAAUUUUUUAAUAAAUAAUUAUGGUUUUCAAUAAAGCCACUUCUUAUAGUAUCUUUAACAUAAACUCUUAUUAAUUUAACUUAUUCAAAAUCAAUGUGGAAGUGAUUAAUCACACAUACUUAAUAAAUGGUUGGCUAGUGUAAGCGUUAGAAUGAAUGACACAUUGAAAACUCCGAGCAGUGUAGAGUUGAAGGGAGUGCCAAAGCAUUCCGCCACUUGUUUUUCUUUUAUCUGCUUGUUUUGUUGGCUAACCUGCGUACUUUGGCAGUACUUUAAGACUAUAAAAAGAGAAGGAAAUAGUCCCCAUAAUCAGGUCAUAAUUUGGAGUAACUUUUUUUAAGUGGUUUUAAACUCCAAGGUAGAAAAGAAUAGAACUACGUACUAACUGAGAAAACUAUGGAUGCAUUCAUGCUAAGUCAAGAGGUAAAAGGCUGAAAAACCCCAGUAUAUAUUUGAGUGUUCUGCUCAAGGGAAUGACAAAACCGUUUGCUAGUCCUUGCAAUAAAAAUAAUUAAAUUUAUUAGUAUACACCUUCUACUUAAUUUUAACAUAUUUUUAAUGGUACUUGGUGUAUAGCUGAUUGUAUGGUUUAUUCAUAAAGAUCGAUAGAGAUUGAAGGUUGAAAUUUUCAGUCUUUUGUGACUUUUAAGGGUUAAAAAAAAAUUCCUUUAAAUAUAUUAUUUUUUGUUUAUUGUUUCUCCAAAAAAAAUUCCUCAAAGUCCUCAAAAUAUUUUUGGUCAACAAAUUUGAUCAUCAUUUUUAAAAUAAGUUGAUUUGAUCAUUAUGGUUGCUCAUAUUUUAGCUAGGGCGGGAUGUUCAUGGACUAGUCCUCGUAUUUUUUAUUCUUAUAUUUCUUAUAUUGGACAUUAGUUGAUUAAUGAUAAUCGUUAACUUUGCUUUGGUAAAAAAAAAGAGUUAAUGUGACAGUGUGUAGAGGGGGUAAAAACGAAAAAAUUAUAUUUUUAUAAAAAAAAAAAAACAGGGUAUCGAUAAAUAUAUCAUUAUUUAGUUUAAAUUUCUCUAUAGAAUGUGUGAUGUGUACAACCUUCAUCUAUGAUCAAAUUUAUCGACGAAAAUCACUUUGAGGACCAUGAAGUUUUGAAGAAAAAAUUUAGAUGGACUAAAAGUAAAAAGAGUAUAUUUAUAGAGAGCAAAAAUCUAUCUAUUUAACUCUAUAAUACAUUUCCUCUCAAAAAGAAAACACUAUAAUAUAUUUAACUCAUGAAAACACUUUUUUAUCGGCAGAUAAAUUUUACACAAAUUAAGUUCAAGGUUUUAUCUACAAAACUUAUCUAAUAAUUAAAAGUAUCAUACGGUUUUUAAAAGAAAAACUAUUAAUAAUGUUUUCCGUACCAAAAAAAGAAAAGCUGUAAAAAGAGAUUUAUUUACAAAUUACUGAUGAAUUUUAGGAUGUUUUUGGAAGGAUUACUAAUAAAUUGUAACUAAUGGAAAGAUUACUAAUAAAUUGUAAUUAAAGGCCUUUUCAAAGGUUGAUGAAGUAAGAAUUUAGUUGAGAUGGGUUGAUGUCCUCAAAUAUGGUUCAUUUUUCUUCAAGCGAGUGAUGCUAAUGAAGGAACUAAAUCCCUCAGUUAUGGAUUCUUUAACUGUUCUAGAAGAAUAUUAACGUCUAAUUGGAUUUUUUGUUACUACACUAUAAAAUGCAAAAAAAAAUAAAAAACUAAGAUAAAGACAAAUUGAUACAGAGAUAAAAUAGUGAAAUAAGCUUUGUGUUUGAUUGAAUCUUUUGUUUACAAUGUAUAGAACAAAUAUUUAUACAUAGAAACUAUUCAUAUUAGUUAAAUGAUGUGGCCUACAAUACAACCUCUGCUCGGCUAAUUUUAUGGGUAGUGCAUUGGUUUCCCUCGUUGAGGGGUUCAUGGCGCUCCAUGUUCGACUGUCAACUUCCUCUUUCAUAGCAUGAUUUGUUGAUAGGGUCCUUAAUGCACGGCCUUUCCACAAACGUAUUUUCUUGUUUAUCGUUCCUUCCGGUUAAAGAUGAUGUAAACAUGAACCGUGAAUUUUAAGCCUCAUUGAUCAAUCUUACCGAGCGUACGUUUACUUAGUUUGAGAUCCAUUAGACCAAUGUUCUGGUCAAUAGACUUGAGAAAGAAUUGGCUCUCCCUUACGUAGUUGCCUUAACCUUCACUCGAUCUUGCAAAAUACUACUCCGGGUAUAACUUGGGCAGUAACCAGUUGAAGCUUUUAAGAAAUUGAUUCUAGGAAAAUACCUUGAUUUUAAACAUUGUGAGAUCAAUAAGUCGUCGUUGUGCAUAAUACUUCAUCCUCAUUUAGACAACAUUGCAAGGUUAAACUCAUGAAAUGUUCUAAAGCUUAUUCCACCUUUCAUUUUUUCCUUACAUAACGUCUCUCAUUUAAUCCAAUAAAUUUUACACUCACCUUGUUUGCUACCCAACCAGAACUUACUAGUCAUCCAUUCAAUAUUCUCACAUAAACCCAUCAGAAGUAGAAAACAACUCAUCACAUACAUAGGAAUUGCCUGAACCAAUGAUUUGAUCAAAACUUCUUUUCCAGCAGUUGAUAGAAAUUUUUCUUUCCAUCCCUUCAGCUUCUUCCACACCCUAUCUUGGACAAAAUUGAAAACCCGUUUCUUAGACCUGCAACAAAAGCAGACAACCCCAUAUAAUUUGAAUGGCACUAACAACUUUAAUUUGCAUCCAACUUUGGAACAUGAUUUUACGAUCAUCAUGUACCUUUUGGCUAAAAGAGAUUUCAAAUUUAUCCAAAUUAAUAAGUUGACCAAAAGCAUAUUGGUAAGUAUUAAGAAUCUUGAAAAGAAUCCCUACAAAAAAUGAGGCUAUCCUCUACAAAAAAUAAAUGAUUAUUUUUUUGACCUCCUCUAGCAAUUUGAAUUCCAUGAAGGUCUUUUUCUUCUUGUGCCUUAUUUAGAGCCCGGAAAAAACGUCAGCACAUAAGGUAAAUUAGUAAGGAAAUAAAGGGUCCCCUUGACAGAUGCCUCGUUGAGGAUAAAACUUCCAACAAAGACUCCAUUCAGCAAAACAGAGAAAGAAACCGUAGAAAUACAAUUGAAAAAUCAAGUUAUGCCAUUUUAGAAAAAACACAUAAACUAAAGCACCUCAAUCAAAAAAUUCCACUCGAUAGAAUCAUAUGCCUUUGACAUAUCUAACUUUAAUGUUACACACCCUUUCUUGCCUUUACUUUUUUUUUUCUCAUAUCUAACUUGAUGGAAACAUUUGUUGGAUGAAAAUGAAUUUGUAAAGUUGGAUCAAAUUUAAAACAUUGUUGAAAAUAAAUAGUUUUUAACUUGAUUUCAAUGUUGGACACAAAAAAUAGUAUUGUCUCGCAAAAAAUUUCAACAACCGAACCAACCAAACCUCGUUGGAUUGGUUUGGUUUUUGUUUUAAAAAUCAACUGAACCAAACUAAAUUGCAUGCUCUUGUAGCUCGGAUGACUUUUAACCUCAAACUAAACGGCACCUCAAACACCCCUGUAUGUAGAAACCAACUUAAUAUUGAAUUUUGAAAAAGACCAAUUUAAUGGUGAAAAAAAAAAAGGGCAUAACUUCUUCAUCAAUAAACCCAAUACUUUAUGAAAAAAAAUCCAAAAAAUAUCAUGUUCUCGAUUUUCUCUCUCAACAAUCAUCUUAACCAUAAAUCCACGUCAAAAAAUAAACUCCAAUCCUUCCUUCAAAGAUAAAUAAAUAAACUCCGAUCUUGACAUGUUUUCAUCGAUCUAGGAACACAAAUCAAACUCAAUAUUAAAAAAAUAAAACUAAACUAUGCUCAAAUUAUAAAUUUGCAAUUGUAAUAACUAAUCUUACCUUUUAAGCUAGAGUGAAAGAACUUAUCGCAAAAUCAAAUUCAGAGAGUUUUUUUUUUUUUUUAAAGAAGCUAAAUUAGCCCACCUAAAUCAGCACCGGAGAUAAUCGAACUUGAGCACAUUCCCAAAUCUCAAGUCAAUACCAUCAGACCAACUCAAGUGGAUUUCAAAUUCAGAGAGCUGAUUUCUGUCUUCAAUUUCUUCGUCAUUGUCUUCAUUUUGAACUGCGAUGUGGAUAGUGCAAUGCAAGUUACAUAAUACAAUCACUUUUUCUUUAGUUUUUUUUAAAGAUUUCAAAAAAAAAAAAGAAGAAAAAAAAGUGAUUGAACUUUGCGUUAGAACUUACAAACUCAAAUUUGAAUUUCAAUCGUUUUUUUAAAUUUUUAUAACAAACUAACUUAACUCAUUUCAAUAAUCAAAAGAGAUGAAAUAUAAGGAAGAGCAAAAUCAAAGACUUGACGACUAGCAUAGAAAAUUAUCAUCCUAACUAGAUUACAAGUUAUAUUAACUUGCUUCCAAAUAAACUUAACCUCUAAGUUACAAUUCAAUAGUAAAAUAUGCCUAAUAUAUUGUUAACAACGACAUUGAAGUCUUAUGCACCCUCAUUACUAGCACAAACAACAUCUAUACGAGCAUUUGUGAGUCAUAUAGAAAUAUCACACUUUGAACUUCAAUAGUUGUUAUUGUUAACAAAAUGAGCGAUUGAAUGCAAUGCAACUCAGUUGACUGGAAAAUGAACUCCAAAAUGAAUACAACCUAACCACUUAGCCCCUGUUUGGUUCUGCGGUAAGAUGCCUCAAACGUGCGUUUUUCACUACAGACGAGAUUUCAUAGCAUUUGAAGGAUGUUUGGCAAGCAGUUGGAAAUGUGAUUCUUCCUUUCAAAAUCGAUUCCAGUUGAAGCUACCAUGUGUAGCUUUUGCUAUAAUCAAUUUUAUGGAAGUCACAAGAUAUAACCGUUUAAAAACCCCCAACUUACAAUUCUCUUCUCUCUUCUAAUCAUCUCUAAAGGUUAAUUAAAUUGAACUACUCCCUGUCGGAACGAUACUCUUUUAUACUACUUCGGUAAGACCGUACACUUGCGGUUUUAUCUCAUCAGACCCCGUUGAGGAAACCAAGACUAAUGAAGUUGAGGUAGAGAGUGAAAAGCCACAAAGUGAGAAAGUUGUGAUAGAGAGUGAAAAGCCUAACAUAUCACCACAAUAUGAACCAAAAAUUCCUUUCCCAUAAGGGUUUGAUGAGUUCAAGCUAGAUGAGCAGGUUAGGAAAUUUAUUGAAAUCAUUCAAGCCAAUUUGCCAUCUAAACUUAAGGAUCCAAAGAGUUUUUCCAUACCAUGUGCAAUAGGAUCCGAGAUUAUAGAAAGAGCCAUGUGUGAUUUGUGGGAGAAUGUCAGUUUGAUACCAUUGUCCCUUUGUGAAAGAUUGGGUAUAGGAUAGGGAAACCUUUCUAACCGUCAAGCUAAUGACUAUAAAGGAGCGCUUCGUGGGAGGCAACCCACGCAUUUAACUGCUUUGCUUUGUUUGUUUUUUUGUUGUUUUAGGUUAUUUUGUAGGUAAUUGUCCAAGAACGAUUCAAGAAAAUGAAAAAAUUUGAAGCCCCGGAGCCCAGAACCUUGGCACGGCCCGUGCUCACACUGGCACGGCCGUGCCAGACCUUGCCUCUCCAAAACCAAGCCAAACUCCAUAAACUUGGCACGGCCCGUGCCAACCUCAGCACGGCCGUGCCCGACCCCAGGUAAGGUUAAACCUUAUUUUUCAUCUUCUUCUUCCCUCAUUCACCAAACCAAACAUCUCUCAUCCUUCCAUCUUCUCUCUAAAACCUUCAUAAGCACAAAAACCAUUCGAACCACAACCUUUCAUUCAAAAACAACUUUCAUCCACCCAAUCCAAAAAUCAUCCAAAUUCGUAGCCCCCAUUAACCUCACCUAAAACCCACAAAUUCAUCACCAAUUUCCACAACCCAACCCCUAAAACUCACUUAAACCUUCUCCCCAUCACUAAACCAACCUCUUCCACCAAAAACAUUCACUACACCCAACCUUCACCAAAACCACACCAAGUCCAACCAAGGUCAAGGCUAUGGCUUCCAAAAGAAGUGGAAAAGAAGUUGCAACAUCUUCAAGAGGACCUCCCCCAAAGAAGCAAGUACCGGCAAAGAAUCAUGGCAUAAUAUUCAAGGACAACAAGCAAAGGGAUAAGUAUAAAAAUCUCAUCUCUAAACCUUUACAUCCUUGCAGGUACCCUGAUAAUUAUGACUUGGUUACACUAGGCCUUAGAGACAAUGUGUUUAAAUUGCUAGGACGAUUAGGGUGGGUUGCUAUGUUACGACCUAUACGGGGUAAUGAAAAUUUCACCUAUGAGUUUUUAAGUUCAAUUAUUUUUACAAAGGAUAGGAUGAAUUUUGAUAACCCUAAUCAUAGAAUCUCUAUCCGGUUUAUGAACAUUGAUUACGAGAUGUCUCUCCAACAAUUUUGUGAUGAGAUGGGCUUCAACCCACCACCUUUUGGGAACAUAUCACCGGCCUUAGGCAAUUUAACACACGUUCAAACAAAGCUAGAAAUAUUCACAACCCGGUGCUUAGGUACCUUCAAAGGGUAAUGGCUUGCACUAUUUGGGGUAGGACCGAAUUGGGGAACACUAGGACGGAUGAACUCUUCAUGUUGUGGGUCAUGCUUAACAACCACCCCGUUAACACAUGCUUUUACUUGCUUGCUUACCUUUCCCAUGUCGGUAAUAGGUCGGAUGGUAGGGGAGAGAUAGUUGUGGGUGGUAUCAUCACAUACAUAGCUAGGCAAUUGGGAGUGGGUGAAGACCAAGGGAUUAACAAAAUUGAGGGAAACAAUAGGCUUAACAUAGAGACCCUUAUCUCUAUGAACUUCAUUAAGCCCCGUCCACCCAUGUCCUACACACUCAAACUCAAUGUGCCUAUUUUGAUUGUACUUCCUAACCCAUCUCGAACUAACACCGAGGUGGAAGAAAAUUUGUUGUAUGUUGUUGAUGAUCCACAGGCACAUGAAGAACACGAUGAUGAAGGCGAGGAAGGAAGGUGCAUAUUUGCACCAAGAAGAGGAAGGUGCACAAUUGCACCAUGAUGAGGAGCACCAUGAUGACGAAGAAACCAAUGAAAAUGCAAGAUGGGCAUGGAUGCACACCGAGGUCGAGAGGAUAAGUACCGAGCAACAAAGGCAAGGUGUUGAAUUGUCGGGACUAAGGAAUGAUGUCCUAAAGGGAAACCGCAUAUCCGAAGAAAAUAACCAAAUGCUUCGGAACAUGAUGCACCAUUUUCACCUCCAAGGUCCUCCCUAUAGACCUCAAUGAAAAAUGUGAGCUUUCCUCUUCCUCUCUUCUCUUACUCCUCCUACUCCUCCUCCUCCUCCUCCUCCUCCUCCUCCUCCUUCUUCUUCUUCUUCUUCUCCUCCUCCUCUAUCUUCUAUUUUUCUUAUUUUGAAUCAUUGAGGACAAUGCUUCUCCUAAGUGUGGGGGGAGCCUAAUAAAGUGUCUUGAGUCGUAGUGUUUCCAAACUCCCUUGAACUUUAUUAUUUUGUUCCGUUUUAUUGUGAAAGGCAUGGUUAAGUAGCUUGUUUUUAUUGAAAAAUAUCAUGACAUAAAUUUUUUUAUCGUCUCCUCUUAAUUGGUUAUUUCUUGUACAUGAAAAUAAACUCUUGUGUUUUAAGUUUUCCUGAUAUACCCACAUCUUGUUUUAAAGUGAAUAAAUUAUCCAAUGAGAAAUGCACAAGUUGCUUCCCUUGAGUAAAUGUAUGGAUAGGUAUUUUAAGGAAAUGCAUUCUAAUAUUAGUGGUACAUUGACCUUUAAAAAUUCUCAAAGUAUAAGUUAGUAUAAGGGGGUCUAUAAAAAGCCAAAUAGCCAAAUUUAUUUCAAGGUUGCAUUAUUGAAUCUAGAUUGGGGAAGGGGGUAGGCCCUCCGACUUCCUACGUGAAGGUGAUGUUAUCUUAAAAAACUUUAAAAAACAUCAUUGAAUCUAGAUUGGGGAAGGGGGUAGGCCCUCCGACUUCCUACGUGAAGAUGAUGUUUUAAGGGGCACCAUUGAAUCUAAAUUGGGGAAGGGGGUAGGCCCUCCGACUUCCUACGUGAAGGUGUCGUUUCCUUAAAUAAAGUAUGUUGAAAUGUGUAAAUGGCAAUGAUCAAAGGAUCGCAAAUACUCUCAUCUCUCUUAUAUAAAAUGAAGAAAGAGUUUUUCUUGGUUGGUUUAGUACUAGGAUUAGAAGAUGUUUUCUCAUAAUAUCUAUCUUAUACAGGAGCAAGAAAAGGGUUGGACUACACACACACACACUCACUUGAAACUUGAUUGUUGGGUUGAAUAAGGUUUACAAGAAAUGCUUGAGUUUGUGAUUAGUGUACGCUUGAAAUUGAAGCCCUUGAGGAGACAUGUGUUUUAAUUAAAUUGUCAUAUGAUAAUAUUGUUUUGUGCUACCAUGUUUAUGCCUUUUGCUUGAGGACAAGCAACUAUUCAAGUGUGGGGGAGUUUGAUGAGUUAUUUAUUAUCUAUUUUAAUAUGUUAUUUAGUUUCGUUUUAUUUAGAUUUAAGUUUAUUUUAUUUUAACAUUAUUUCCUUUUUGAGCUAUUUUACAACAAUUACAUAUUGUUAUAUUUCAGGAACGAAUAUUUGAUGGAUUGAGUCUUGGAGCAAAAGAAAGGGAUUUUGAAGCUAAUUCGGUACGAAAAUACGAAGAUUCGGAGACAAAAAUAUAUCUCCCUCAAGUCAGAAACUUGGCACGGCCCGUGCUAGGCUUGGCACGGCCGUGCCACCCUCCAGAACUACUUUUGAUGCUUUUGCUUAGAUUUUAAACUACUCUGUUUUAGUUUACUUGUGGAACAUUCUAGUGAUUGCUUAGAUUUUAAGUCGAAUGUAAACUAUAAAUAGAGUAGCUAGCCAUCACAAAUAUUCAUCUUUUGUUCUAUAAAAUAAUAAGUGACAAUUGUUUCUUUGAAUAAAAGUUCACCUUUAUUUUAUGUUCUUCUUCUUCUUCUUCUCUUCUAUGUCUACAAUGAACGUUAGUGAGUAGACUUCUUCUUGUCUUGGAAUUGUUGGAUAAGUCUAAAUGACAUAAUCCUAAUCAAACCAAGCUUUAAACCUUAAUCUUAUGUAACCCUAAUCUCUAAUCUAAAUUCACCGCUUUAACAUGAAUUAACCAUUAUCAAACUGUGGAAACGAAAGUGGAGGGUUUGAUAAUUGUUAAUCCAUCAUCUCAAAUAUCAAUUCAUAAAACGAAAGUGGAGCUUUGAUAUUCGAACAAGUGAAUUUAGACAAAGAUUGUAAAGGCAGCGAAAUAGUCUUUACAAUCUUUGACACAUAUAGUUUCGAACUUCAAGGAUUCUAAAUUAUGAUCAGCGAAAUAGGAUUGGUUGCAACUUAAGACCAAAAUCUAAUAGUAAUCAAGUCAGCGAAAUAGGCUUGGUUUCUAGAGGAACAAAAGAGAAAUUGUCUUUGGAAGUUAGGUCUAACAUAAGGUUAUAAGUUUAAUAGUUUGGUUUGUGAAUGACUUGUCAAUUAGAUGAACCAAUAAUCCCAAGGCACCUCUUUUAUUUUAUUAUUUUUAUUUUCUUUUAAUUAUACAAAAAUACAACUUACAAUCUUUUAAACUUUAAUUCUAAUCAUUGUUAAAAGAUAAUUGAAUUCAUAACUCCCUGUCGGAACGAUACUUUUAUUACUACUUCGGUAAGACCUGAAGGUAAAUCGACAUUAACAGAAUAAGCAGCGGAAUAAAAUUUCGAUUUACUUUCCUUGGAUCAUUACGAAUUGGAACUUGAAGUAGUGAUUCGAUUGUUACCUUAGAACGAUUAGUCUGAAAACGAUCGGUGGAAUCUGCGAACUGGAAUCUUGAUCACAGCCAAGCAAACAGCAGAGCCUCUAUUGAGUCCACACGAACAGUGCUCCUCCAAAACCUCGGUGCUAGCCAAGAAGACGGAAGUCAGAGAACUAGGGUUUCUGCAAGGAAAACGUAAACGCAAACUAUUGCACUAGGUUUCUAUUUAUAGAACUCCUUAUGUGCUUUGCAAGUUGUCAUACCCCAAUUUUUGACCUAAGACAGCACUGACACGUGUCAUUUAACUCCGACCGGUCUCAGCCUUUCGAGCAAAAAAUUCGGCAGGGAGGUAUUUUAAAAUACCUCAUAGUUGAUUCCGAGUCGGGCCCUCUUCUCUCAAUUUUCAUUUAAUUUUAAUUUCCAUCUUUUAUUAACUUUAAAUUCAUUUUUUUUAACCUUUAUUUUAUCUUGUUUUUGUUUUAUUUAUUUUUAGUCCUUUUAUUUUAGUUUUAAUGUCCAAAAUAAAUCAAAAAUUUUGUCCGAUAAUAUCCAAACACAGCUCAAAACAGGCUGUCAUAUUCCUCUCCAAGCAACAAAAAUUUUGCUCAUUUCAAGCUCUAUAUAUACAAACACGCAAGCAGCCAAGAGAGGAGGGGGGCCCAACAGCAAAAAUAGCAAUAAACUAAAAAUACAGAGAACAAUUUUCCAGCAAAAACACACGCUACCAACUAACAAAUUUCAACCCUAAUCAACUUUCCAACAAAACAAUUUUCAUUCAACCUCUUUCGAUUCAAAUCUUCACAAAAACCCAAACGCAUUAACCAAACAUCAAUCACGCACACAACAAUCAAAUCCAGCCACAAAUCUCGAUCAUAAAUCACAUUAUUUCAACCCACAAACCACACAUCAGACUUUCAAAACCGCGUUACAGAAACACAACGCCUUAAACUGGAUCCACAAACAUCCAGACUCAAAAAGUAGUAUUUCUUUCCUUUUAGAUCUAGGUCAAACCGUUGGGUUUUGAACAUUUUUGAGUUAAAAAUCGGAAAGAAGGAGAGAAAAGAAGGAGAGAGGACGAAAAAAAAUAUAAAAAGAGAGUACACAACCACUCCGGCGCGGCGGCGCGGCCAUCUUGGCCGGCCGGCCACCGCGCCAGCCACCGGAGAAGAAGGUGGCGUUGGAGGAGGAUUCUAGAGAGAAGGCAGAGCCUCUCUCUCUCUAGAAACAAAAGAAGAGAGAGAAGUUUGAAGUGAAAAUGAAUAAAAAAACCGGUGCCUACCUAUUUAUAAUGCUAGACUGAACCGGUUCAAUCUUGGAACCGGUCUGAACCGGCCUAUUCCAGGCCCACACGCGCCUGGCCUCACCCAAGACCCAAAUCCUUUUCGUUUUAUUUUUCUGCACCCCCCCUUUUACUGCUCACACACCCCCAGCAUCUCAUUUUUCUAAUUUCUUUUUCAUGCAUUUUAAUUCUCGCUCUAUCUGUUAAUCCAGAGUGCUCUGGUCCCCAGUUAACUGUUAAUAUUAUAAUUAUUCUCCAGAACAAUCUGGUCCUUAAUAAUUAAAUUAAUCCAGAGUGCUCUGGUCCAAAAUUAACUUAAUAUGAUAUUCUUGCUUAAUUUAGUUAUUCUCCAGAACAAUCUGGUCCUUGUUAAUUAAAUUAAUCCAGAGUGCUCUGGUCCUAUAUUAACUAUUAAUAUUAUAUUUUUGUUUAAUUUAAUUACUCUCCAGAACAAUCUGGUCUUUGUCAAUUAAAUUAAUCCAGAGUGCUCUGGUCCUAAAUUAACUGUUAAUAUUAUAUUUUUGUUAAUCCAGAGUGCUCUGGUCCAAACUUAAAUGUUAAUAUUUAUUUAUUUUUGUUUAACUUAGUUAUUCUCCAGAAUAUUCUGGUCCAUGUUAAAAUAAUUUCACAAUUUAGCUUAACUUCAUUUUUCUCAUUCUGCUUAUAUAAUUUUCAUAUCUUUAUUCAAAAACAACAAAAACAUUCAAAUAUCAAAAAUUCAUAAAAAGAACUUUUCACAGUAAACCUUGAUCUUAAAUCAAGUGACCGUCUUUUUCUUUUUCUUAAUCAAAUUUCAAAUCAAUUCUAAUUCAACUUCAAGUCUAUUUCUUUCAAUCUAAAAAACACAAAUCAAUUCUCAUUUGCCAUUUGGCUUUUUAUUUCAAAACCUCUUUCAGAACAUAUAAAAAACACCAAACAAAUCAAACGUCAAUUUCUACCCCGAACUACGAGGUUUUGAUCCCUCACGGGUACGUAGGCAGAGGACGCUUGUCCUUCCAAAUCAAUUAAAAAACAAUUUUCUUUUUUUUUUCUCUUUUCAAAUCAAUUAAAAAACAAUUUUCUUUUUUUCUCUUUUCAAUUAUGAACUAAAAAACAUUUUUCUUUUUUCUCUUCAAUUAAAAUCAAUUUUCUUUUCUUUAUCAACUCGUCAUUCAAUUCCAUUUUCAUCUCUUUAAAAGCAAGCAAGUUUAAGCACAAAAAGUUAAAUAAAAUCAGGAGGUUCUCGUAGAGUACUACGAAUAUUUAGGGUGCUAAUACCUUCCCUAAGUAUAACCAACCCCCGAACCCUGAAUCUCUUCAAAAUGGGUUGUUUGGAACGUUUUCCCCUUAAAAAAAAAUUUGUUCGGUCGUGAUAUAAAAAGUGAGUCAAAGUAAAUGGCCUUGACGUCCGAAAAAUGGCGCGACAGAAAUGGCGACUUCACUGGGGACCCCUUAAGAGGGUUGAGCCUAACUUGGCUUUAUUUAAUUCUUUGUGCUCUAACUUGCUUAAAACAAAAACAAAAAAUAAAAGAUGGAAAUACAUGUAUAUAUGUUCUCUUUUUUUCUUCUUUCUUUUUUUAACGUGAGUGGUGAGACAAGUCCUACACCCGGACUUGAGGGAAACAUAAGAUAGGAUGGUGGUAUGACCAAAGUGCCAUUCCGAGAGUCAAGUCUCGUGUUUUGGUUCAUGUGGUAUAACCCCACUCAAUGGAGGAAUCUUGGAAGUAAUUUAUGUUGGCAUGAGUAGUCGUGUCGGCAUUGUAUUUUCAAGUGACCGUCGAAGUUGAGGACCUUUAGUUACCAUUAACCCAUCUUGGCCUUUUAGGACGUAGUGCGGUGGCUAAUCAAGAGUAGUCUUGGUUUAGUUGAUACGCGAUACUACACUCAGACGAGACUUUCUUACGAACGUUGUUGGACCGGAAGUAUUUCCGCAACCCGAUGACAUUCGGAAGCGGUUAAAGACUCUGAAAACUUGGUAGAACCCUUGUUACAAGUACAAAUGAAACCAUAGUCCAUACCAAAUGUCGUUAUACCCUUGACUCCAUCGUUAUGGGCCUUAAACCUCACCAUGUUUUCACCGUUUGUACAGCAUAGUUAUGCAUACAUACAUUCAUUCAUAAACAGCCUUUUUUCAUCAAAUGUCGAAGGAUCUAGACAAGUUGUUGCAAACAUCGCAGAUGAACAGACCUUGCAAGAAAGAACGCCAAGAAAUACAACUUCAAAAAUCUUAACUAAGCUUUAGCUUUUGUUAAGAACUUUUCCCUUGGGUUCGCUCUUACCUUUUGGAAAAAAAAACCUAUUGCAAUAUCUUUACAAUUUUCAAAUGAAACAAUGUUCUUCUAUAAUGUUUCCAAUCACUUUGACAAAUCCUUCAAAAAAAAUAUGUGUACAUUUUUUGCAUAAGCAUCAUGCAUCAUUUUGCAUUUCAUAGUUUCGAGUCCGAGUCUCACCGAAUUUUCUUUUCCAGAAAAGGUCAAAAGUGGUACGAUGUCUUCGUUCAAUCUCAGCGCACAUAUGCAAACACUUGUGCAAACACAUAAAAUGGAUCAACAGGAACAAGAGCUCCACGAGCUUCGUAAAGAAAUGACAGCGCUUCGGGCCAAGGUAGAGGAAUUAACCAACCGGGUAUCUUCGUUGAUGGUUACAAAAGAUCUACCACAAUUCCAGCGAAGGCCCCAACCACCACGUCAGCCGUCGUACCCGCAGCAGCAACAGACCCCUCAACAAUCUAAUCCACAGAAUCAGGCUCGGAGAGCACGUCAUGAUCCAAUUCCCGUAAAAUAUGGGGAGUUGCUCCCAAUUUUGCUUGAGAAGAACCUGGUCCAAACUAGAGCGCCUCCUCGGGUGCCUGACAAAUUGCCAGCUGGGUAUCGAUCUGAUCUCUCAUGUGCCUUCCAUCAAGGGGCACCCAGCCAUGACAUUGAGCAUUGUUACGCUUUGAAGGCCGAAAUCCAGAAGCUGGUUCAAGCCAAAAAGAAUUGAACCCGAAUGUGCAAGUCAACCCGCUACCGGAUCAGGGUACUUGAUGGUGUGACACACGGAGCGGAUAAUCGCAAUUGGGUCACGUUAAUGUUCCUUCUACUACCCAUCCAUUCAAAUAAUGCGUUUGUUGUUUGCUACUUUUCAAAAAAAUCCUUUUGUCCCGCCCGAGACGAAAGUGAACUAAUUUAGGGUUGUUUGCUUCAGGCAUUUCCCAUCAUUAAUAAAAAAGUCGCUUCGAUCCCGACUUUGUUUCAUUUCGUGCUUUUUCUUGGAAAAAUGGUAAUACAAAAAAACCAAAAAAAAUCUUUUUCUUUUAUUUUAAUCAUUUUCAAAUAUCUGCAUAAUCAUAAUUUUCAUUUACUUGUCAAAAUCAAAAAUCAAAAUCAUGCAUUAAUAAACCCGUUGAACACAAUAACCAUGUACUCUCUUCCAACUUUGAGUUCUCUAUGUCCGAAGAUGAAGAUGAGGAAAGUGAAGAGACUCUCGAUAAGAUCUCUCGCAUGCUGGGGCAUCUUACCCGUCGAAGCUGCAAACAAAAAUAUCAAGAAUAUUGUCCAGAAGAUGACUUUCAUUUGCAAAGACGGGCACGAAAUGUGACCAUCUGCACUUCAUGAGUAUCGUACUUCAAUGCACACUUCAACAGGGGCAACCCCCCUCCAUCCCUCAGUAUACAACGUAAAGGUUGUGCUUCCCGUGGAGGUCGAAGUCCCGACAAUAGGAGUUCUACCAAAAUUCAAACUUGAUUGAAUUUAAAAUACAUGACAACCUUGUACAACCAUGUCAAAAGAGGUUGAAACAAAUUUCCAACAAGAAGGUUUGUCCCCAUGAAUUUCAAGAAAGAGACUUUGUGCCAAAAAAGGUAUUAUCUUUCCAACCAGACUCCAGGGGCAAGGGGACGCCUAACUAUGAAAGUCCAUGUGCACUGACUCUUGUGCCCACAAAUGGUGACAAACUCACGCUUCCUAUGAAGGCCAAUGCAGUCAAGAAAUACUUUGUCAAAAAAUGAAAGCUCGAUAAGUCGCAAACCUGAAAAGGCGGCUUAGGCAAAAAUGAGCGUCUCGAUGGACUGAAAACCCGAAAGGGCGGUCCAGGCAAAAAUUAGAGACAUGAACAAAAAUGAUUAUCCUGAUAGAUUGAAAACCCGAAAGGGCGAUCUAUGCAAAAGUUAAGGAUCAAAAGAAAAAGUAACUGCAUCAGUCGAGCACCAUCCACUUGGGGCAUCCAACUAUCAAAAGACUGCCGACUCAAGGCAUCUACAAAUCAAAGACCCGGAACAGGGGCAUUCAAAGUUGUUAGGGAGAAUAACGGUUAUUGUGUUCAAUGAACCCUUCCCAUUACAUUUACCAUUUUUCCAAAAUUUUCAAAAUUCGUGGAGCCAUGCCCUAGGCAGGUCACCACUCAACUCAUCAAAUUUGAGCUCGUGCCCAUUUAUUUGGAACUCUCAUUUAUUCUAUUUGCAAAAUUUCUUCUAUUUUUGAUGGCAAUAGUUAAAGCAAAAAAUUUCAAAAUACAAAACAUUUCUACAUCUUUUGAAAAUUGCGAACAACAAGCACACUCUCUUUGAACUCGUGAGUAGGUGAAGCAUACAUCAGCAUCCGCAUCGAGAACGGUUACACUCCGGAAGAAAAACAGGGCUAAGCAUUAUGGAAAGAACCUCUUCCUUGAGCAAGAUGCUGUCACGGUCCAAAAAUACAAAAAAAUCAAAGCUCGCUAAGUUGAAAACCUUGAAAGGUAGCUUAGGCAAAAAUGAGCGUCUCGAUGGACUGAAAACCCGAAAGGGCGGUCCAGGCAAAAAUUAGAGACAUGAACAAAAAUGAUUAUCUUGAUAGAUUGAAAACCCGAAAGGGCGAUCUAUGCAAAAGUUAAGGAUCAAAAGAAAAAGUAACUGCAUCAGUCGAGCACCAUCCACUUGGGGCAUCCAACUAUCAAAAGACUGCCGACUCAAGGCAUCUACAAAUCAAAGACCCGGAAUAGGGGCAUUCAAAGUUGUUAGGGAGAAUAACGGUUAUUGUGUUCAAUGAACCCUUCCCAUUACAUUUACCAUUUUUCCAAAAUUUUCAAAAUUCGUGGAGCCAUGCCCUAGGCAGGUCACCACUCAAUUCAUCAAAUUUGAGCUUGUGCCCAUUUAUUUGGAACUCUCAUUUAUUCUAUUUGCAAAAUUUCUUCUAUUUUUGAUGGCAAUAGUUAAAGCAAAAAAUUUCAAAAUACAAAACAUUUCUACAUCUUUUGAAAAUUGCGAACAACAAGCACACUCUCUUUGAACUCGUGAGUAGGUGAAGCAUACAUCAGCAUCCGCAUCGCGAACGGUUACACUCCGGAAGAAAAACAGGGCUAAGCAUUAUGGAAAGAACCUCUUCCUUGAGCAAGAUGCUGUCACGGUCCAAAAAUACAAAAAAAUCAAAGCUCGCUAAGUUGAAAACCUUGAAAGGUAGCUUAGGCAAAAAUGAGCGUCUCGAUGGACUGAAAACCCGAAAGGGCGGUCCAGGCAAAAAUUAGAGACAUGAACAAAAAUGAUUAUCCUGAUAGAUUGAAAACCCGAAAGGGCGAUCUAUGCAAAAGUUAAGGAUCAAAAGAAAAAGUAACUGCAUCAGUCGAGCACCAUCCACUUGGGGCAUCCAACUAUCAAAAGACUGCCGACUCAAGGCAUCUACAAAUCAAAGACCCGAAACAGGGGCAUUCAAAGUUGUUAGGGAGAAUAACGGUUAUUGUGUUCAAUGAACCCUUCCCAUUACAUUUACCAUUUUUCCAAAAUUUUCAAAAUUCGUGGAGCCAUGCCCUAGGCAGGUCACCACUCAAUUCAUCAAAUUUGAGCUUGUGCCCAUUUAUUUGGAACUCUCAUUUAUUCUAUUUGCAAAAUUUCUUCUAUUUUUGAUGGCAAUAGUUAAAGCAAAAAAUUUCAAAAUACAAAACAUUUCUACAUCUUUUGAAAAUUGCGAACAACAAGCACACUCUCUUUGAACUCGUGAGUAGGUGAAGCAUACAUCAGCAUCCGCAUCGAGAACGGUUACACUCCGGAAGAAAAACAGGGCUAAGCAUUAUGGAAAGAACCUCUUCCUUGAGCAAGAUGCUGUCACGGUCCAAAAAUACAAAAAAAAUCAAAGCUCGCUAAGUUGAAAACCUUGAAAGGUAGCUUAGGCAAAAAUGAGCGUCCCGGUGGACUGAAAACCCAGAAGGGCGGUCCAGGCAAAAAUUAGGGGCACAAAAAAAAAAGAAUAUAUUCCCGGUGGAUUGAAAACCCGAAAGGGCGAUCUAGGCAAAAGUUAGGGAUUUCAAAAAACACGACUGUUGAAGCAUGCCAAUGGAAGGACACUCUGUGCCAGUUUACAAAUGGCGACUUCUUCCAGGCUUUUGAUCAACAAUGGGCUUUACCCCAGGAGGCAUCAGUUGCUACCUUAUGCCGGGUUUUACCCCGUCAACGGUUCAAUUUGUUCGCAGUAAUAUCAUCUCCAAGGAAGAUUGCCGAGUGUUUGUACUGCAGUGUCAGUCCUCUUCCUAUCUUACAUGUUUGUCUUAUCUCAUCGAAAUCAACUGUCACGAUCCAGUCUAUACAAUCAUACAUUCAUUCACACAUCCAUACAUUCACAAUCAUGCAUUCACCAAUAUUUUCACAUAUUCAUACGUUUACGUGUACACAGCAUAUGCGCAACAUCAAUUCACACAUUAGUCAUCUAUAAUCUCGUUUCGGUCGUGUCUCUUCAGUUCGGUCUUAACUUAUCAUUGUGUAAAGCCGCAAGUUUCUACAAAUGAACAUCUUGCAUUUACCUUCUUAUCAUCAAAAGUGUCAUCCCCAGUGUGCCUGGUCCAGAGAUGUCGCACAUCGCAAAAGCCCGGUGGAUUCCGGCAAACCUUUUAUCAAAAGCCGAGUGGAUUCUCGCAAAAGCCCGGUGGAUUCCGGCAAAUGUUUAUCAAAAGCCGAGUGGAUUCUCGCAAACCUUUUUUAUCAAGCCUAGUGCGACGUCAAAAGUGUCAUCCCCGGCGUGAAGCCGUUCUAGUCAUGACACUAGUCAAUUUUCAUUUCAAAUUUCAAUUUCAAAAGUGUCAUACCCGGCGUCAAGCCGUGCUAGCCAUGUCACUAAUCAAUACCAGUUUCAAUUUCAAUUUCAAAAGUGUCAUACCCGGCGUAAAGCCGUGCUAGCCAUGUCACUAACCAAUUUUCAAUUUCAAAUCCAAUAGUGUCAUCCCCAGCGAAAGCUGUGCCACUGAUGCCACUAGUCCAGUUUCAAUGGUGUCAUCCCCAGCGAAAGAUGUGCCACUGAUGUCACUAAUCAAUUUCAAUUUCAAAUGUGUCAUGUCACUAUUCAAAUUUCAAUGUCAGAUUUCAAUACUAAAUUUCAAUUUCAAAAGUGUCAUCCCCAGUGUGUCUGGUCGAGAGAUGUCACGAAUCAAUCAAUUUCAAGCGGCAAGUCUCCGACAAAAGGACAGCUUGAAUCUAUUUUUCAGUCAAUUUCAAGCGGCAAGUUUCCGACAAAAGGACAGCUUGAAUCUAUUUUCAGUCAAUUUCAAGCGGCAAGUUUCCGACAAAAGGACAGCUUGAAUCUAUUUUUCAGUCAAUUUCAAGCGGCAAGUUUCCGACAAAAGGACAGCUUGAAUCUAUUUUCAUUCAAUUUCAAGCGGCAAGUUUCCGACAAAAGGACAGCUUGAAUCUAUUUUCAGUCAAUUUCAAGCGGCAAGUUUCCGACAAAAGGACAGCUUGAAUCUAUUUUUCAGUCAAUUUCAAGCGGCAAGUUUCCGACAAAAGGACAGCUUGAAUCUAUUUUCAGUCAAUUUCAAGCGGCAAGUUUCCGACAAAGGGACAGCUUGAAUCUAUUUUCAGUCAAUUUCAAGCGGCAAGUUUCUGAUAAAGGGACACCUUGAAUCUACUUUUCAGUCAAUUUCAAGCGGCAAGUUUCCGACAAAAGGACAGCUUGAAUCUAUUUUCAGUCAAUUUCAAGCGGCAAGUUUCCGACAAAAGGACAGCUUGAAUCUAUUUUCAGUCAAUUUCAAGCGGCAAGUUUCUGAUAAAGGGACAACUUGAAUCUAUUUUUCAGUCAAUUUCAAGCGGCAAGUUUCCGACAAAAGGACAGCUUGAACCUCUUUCCAGUCAAUUUCAAGCGGCAAGUUUCCGACAAAAGGACAGCUUGAACCUAUUUCCAGUCAAUUUCAAGCGGCAAGUUUUCGACAAAAGGACAGCUUGAACCUAUUUCCAGUCAAUUUCAAUUUUCAAUUACAAAAGUGUCAUUCCCGGCGUAAAGCCGUUCUAGUCAUGACAACUAGUCAAUUUCAAUUUCAAUUUCAAUUUCAAAAGUGUCGUCCCCGGCGUAAAGCCGUGCUAGUGAUGUCACUAAUCAAUUUCAAAGUGUCAUCCCUGGCGUGAAGCUGUGCCAGUGAUGUCACUAGUUAAUUUCAAUCACCUAUCAUACAGGUAGUAGACAGUAUUUUCCCCAGUAAAACUACAUUCCCCAAGCGGAGUCGGAUCCCUUUCUUCAACGAGUUUGGGUAUCCCAUUGUUGUUCCACUUUCUAAUCAAGCCAUCUAUGUCGUCCUGCAUUCAUAAUUGCCUCAUAUGCAUUCAUAAUUGCAUCGCAUGCAUUCAUAGCAUCUUAGGUCAAAAAUUGUGUACUCUAUAUUUAAGUCUCUUCGACCCGUCAAAUCAAAGAUUCCAUCUUCAAAUCUCCGGACGAAGAAACUUAAAUAGGGGCAUCUGUCAUACCCCAAUUUUUGACCUAAGACAGCACUGACACGUGUCAUUUAACUCCGACCGGUCUCAGCCUUUCGAGCAAAAAAUUCGGCAGGGAGGUAUUUUAAAAUACCUCAUAGUUGAUUCCGAGUCGGGCCCUCUUCUCUCAAUUUUCAUUUAAUUUUAAUUUCCAUCUUUUAUUAACUUUAAAUUCAUUUUUUUUAACCUUUAUUUUAUCUUGUUUUUGUUUUAUUUAUUUUUAGUCCUUUUAUUUUAGUUUUAAUGUCCAAAAUAAAUCAAAAAUUUUGUCCGAUAAUAUCCAAACACAGCUCAAAACAGGCUGUCAUAUUCCUCUCCAAGCAACAAAAAUUUUGCUCAUUUCAAGCUCUAUAUAUACAAACACGCAAGCAGCCAAGAGAGGAGGGGGGCCCAACAGCAAAAAUAGCAAUAAACUAAAAAUACAGAGAACAAUUUUCCAGCAAAAACACACGCUACCAACUAACAAAUUUCAACCCUAAUCAACUUUCCAACAAAACAAUUUUCAUUCAACCUCUUUCGAUUCAAAUCUUCACAAAAACCCAAACGCAUUAACCAAACAUCAAUCACGCACACAACAAUCAAAUCCAGCCACAAAUCUCGAUCAUAAAUCACAUUAUUUCAACCCACAAACCACACAUCAGACUUUCAAAACCGCGUUACAGAAACACAACGCCUUAAACUGGAUCCACAAACAUCCAGACUCAAAAAGUAGUAUUUCUUUCCUUUUAGAUCUAGGUCAAACCGUUGGGUUUUGAACAUUUUUGAGUUAAAAAUCGGAAAGAAGGAGAGAAAAGAAGGAGAGAGGACGAAAAAAAAUAUAAAAAGAGAGUACACAACCACUCCGGCGCGGCGGCGCGGCCAUCUUGGCCGGCCGGCCACCGCGCCAGCCACCGGAGAAGAAGGUGGCGUUGGAGGAGGAUUCUAGAGAGAAGGCAGAGCCUCUCUCUCUCUAGAAACAAAAGAAGAGAGAGAAGUUUGAAGUGAAAAUGAAUAAAAAAACCGGUGCCUACCUAUUUAUAAUGCUAGACUGAACCGGUUCAAUCUUGGAACCGGUCUGAACCGGCCUAUUCCAGGCCCACACGCGCCUGGCCUCACCCAAGACCCAAAUCCUUUUCGUUUUAUUUUUCUGCACCCCCCCUUUUACUGCUCACACACCCCCAGCAUCUCAUUUUUCUAAUUUCUUUUUCAUGCAUUUUAAUUCUCGCUCUAUCUGUUAAUCCAGAGUGCUCUGGUCCCCAGUUAACUGUUAAUAUUAUAAUUAUUCUCCAGAACAAUCUGGUCCUUAAUAAUUAAAUUAAUCCAGAGUGCUCUGGUCCAAAAUUAACUUAAUAUGAUAUUCUUGCUUAAUUUAGUUAUUCUCCAGAACAAUCUGGUCCUUGUUAAUUAAAUUAAUCCAGAGUGCUCUGGUCCUAUAUUAACUAUUAAUAUUAUAUUUUUGUUUAAUUUAAUUACUCUCCAGAACAAUCUGGUCUUUGUCAAUUAAAUUAAUCCAGAGUGCUCUGGUCCUAAAUUAACUGUUAAUAUUAUAUUUUUGUUAAUCCAGAGUGCUCUGGUCCAAACUUAAAUGUUAAUAUUUAUUUAUUUUUGUUUAACUUAGUUAUUCUCCAGAAUAUUCUGGUCCAUGUUAAAAUAAUUUCACAAUUUAGCUUAACUUCAUUUUUCUCAUUCUGCUUAUAUAAUUUUCAUAUCUUUAUUCAAAAACAACAAAAACAUUCAAAUAUCAAAAAUUCAUAAAAAGAACUUUUCACAGUAAACCUUGAUCUUAAAUCAAGUGACCGUCUUUUUCUUUUUCUUAAUCAAAUUUCAAAUCAAUUCUAAUUCAACUUCAAGUCUAUUUCUUUCAAUCUAAAAAACACAAAUCAAUUCUCAUUUGCCAUUUGGCUUUUUAUUUCAAAACCUCUUUCAGAACAUAUAAAAAACACCAAACAAAUCAAACGUCAAUUUCUACCCCGAACUACGAGGUUUUGAUCCCUCACGGGUACGUAGGCAGAGGACGCUUGUCCUUCCAAAUCAAUUAAAAAACAAUUUUCUUUUUUUUUUCUCUUUUCAAAUCAAUUAAAAAACAAUUUUCUUUUUUUCUCUUUUCAAUUAUGAACUAAAAAACAUUUUUCUUUUUUCUCUUCAAUUAAAAUCAAUUUUCUUUUCUUUAUCAACUCGUCAUUCAAUUCCAUUUUCAUCUCUUUAAAAGCAAGCAAGUUUAAGCACAAAAAGUUAAAUAAAAUCAGGAGGUUCUCGUAGAGUACUACGAAUAUUUAGGGUGCUAAUACCUUCCCUAAGUAUAACCAACCCCCGAACCCUGAAUCUCUUCAAAAUGGGUUGUUUGGAACGUUUUCCCCUUAAAAAAAAAUUUGUUCGGUCGUGAUAUAAAAAGUGAGUCAAAGUCAAUCAAAUGGCCUUGACGUCCGAAAAAUGGCGCGACACAAGUCAAACUCGUUUUUGACUUCACUAAGCCCAAUACGAGUUUAGCAAAUUUUGCUAAAUCAUUAGCAUUAUUUACUAAGCGCACCCUUUAUAUAAGUCGUACUUAUACAUAUCUCUUUUGACUGCUCUUUGUGUGUAACCCUUUAGGUUCUAGUCACGUUGGCAAUGAUAUUAAAUCUAAUAUUUAAUACCAUAAACAAUGAGCGGUAUCUAGCAACGCAUCAUUGCUACCCAAGUGACAAGAAUGUCAAGUGAUCUGACGAAACCUUUCAUGAUAAUACAUAUGUGUAUAAUUACUCCUUUGUCUCAAUAUCUUCAUUGAUCCCAAGGCAUAGAUAGUGUCACCCUUGUAUAGAUCAAUGUUUAUUUAUCUUGAUUCCAAAAUAUACUAUUUAACGAAUAAGUCCAAUAUCUUAUAUUGACUUAGUUCGGCAUGGCCAUGCAUAUUUAUAGUCAUAUUUCAUCAAGAGGCCUAAAGAUAUAUCUCCUGUUUAUGAGGAGGGACAAAUCCCAUCUAGGACACUCAUGCCCCUCAGCAUGAUUCAUCAAGUACCCAUCAACCAACGUUAUUGUUAUCCUUUUACAGACAACGUUAGAAUGGCAACAAAGCACUUGAGUCCACAUCAAGAGAUCAUAGUGGUUUCAGGUCUAAGAGCGAUAUACAUUAUUAUCAUUGUGAGAAUAUCUUAUGACAAUUUCAUAACUUACUAUGUAGUAUUCUCACAGUGGGUCAAUCCAAUACAAAUAUUACUCCUAAUAUUUAUAUCUAUGUAUAGACUUGAUAUCU